rnacentral:lncRNA from 1 species
UAGAUUGCCCAAGACAAUUAGAAUUCUUAGCUCCUAAUUCUGACUGUUUUCAUCGAGGAAGCAUAAUCAUUGUGACCACGAGAAAUAAACGUUGCCUAAAUGUAUAUGAGUCGUAUUCAUCAUAUGAGGCUAAGGGAUUAGCACGUGAGCAAGCUAAGGAACUCUUUUGUUGGAAUGCCUUUCGAAAACACCAUCCAAAAGACAAUUAUGUGGACCUCUCUAAUCGUAUACUGGAUUAUGCUAAAGGCCUUCCAUUGGCUCUUGUAGUUUUGGGUUCUUUUCUCUUUCAAAGGGAUGUGGAUGAAUGGGAAAGCACAUUGGAUAAACUCAAAACAAACCCUCUCGAAGAUAUUCAAAAGGUACUCCAGAUAAGUUAUGAUGGACUAGAUGAUAAAUGCAAAAAGUUGUUUCUUGAUAUUGCAUGCUUCUUCAAAUAUAAGGAUGAAAAAUUUGUUACAAGAAUACUAGAAGGUUGCAAAUUCCAUCCCAAGAUUGGACUAAGAGUUCUUGAUGAGAGAUGUCUUAUCUCUAUAACGUACGGCACUAUAAGGAUGCAUGACUUGUUACAAGAAAUGGGUUGGGCAAUUGUUCGCCAAAUUGAUCCAGAAUGUCCUGGAAAAUGGAGCAGAUUGUGGGAAUUACAAGAUAUUGAAAGUGUAUUUACCCGAAAUAAGGUAAGAGAAAAAUACAUGAAUAUACUUGAGACCUAAAGACAUAAAAGAUUCAACAAGAUUUAUUUUUAUUAUUAUUAUAGUCUGAGUACCUUAUCUAUAUAAUUUUAUCGAAUCCCUAUGCAUCUUAUACUACUUUUUCUCAAUGCUUGUUUUCAGGGGACAAAAAACAUUGAGGGGAUAUUCAUAAAUCGGUCUUGGGAUACAAAAAAACGUAUACAACUUACUGCUGAAGCUUUCAGAAAGAUGAAUCGACUUAGAUUGCUCAUAGUUAAAGGCAAUAUGGUGCAGCUUUCCCAAGACUUUGAAUUGCCUUGUCAUGAUUUAGUAUAUUUUCAUUGGGAUAACUACCCUUUGGAAUAUUUGCCAUCAAAUUUUCAUGUAGAAAAUCUUGUUGAACUUAACCUCUGGUACAGCAACAUAGAACAUCUUUGGGAAGGAAACAUGGUAUUGCUAUUAUUUAGUUAUAUUUUUGCUCUAGACUAAUUUUAAAGUCUUUUGAAGUUUACUUAUUGAAACGAAUUUUCUUCUGUUACAGACUGCUAGAAAGUUAAAGGUCAUUAAUCUCAGUUAUUCCAUGCAUCUGGUUGGUAUUUCAAGCAUCUCAAGUGCACCAAAUUUGGAGAUUCUAAUUCUAAAAGGUUGUACAAGGUUACUUACUUGUUUCACCCAUGCUUAAUGUUAUUAUUAGUCAUGAGCUAACUGUUUUCUUGAAUAUAAUAGGAUGCAAGAGACUUGAGAGUCUUCCAAGGAACUUUCAUAAGCUGGAAUGCCUUCAAACACUCUCUUGUGAUGGCUGUUCAAACUUAAAAAGUUUUCCGAAGAUCGAGGAAGAAAUGAGAAGUCUAAGAAAGCUUCAUUUAAGUCAUACAGGUAUAAUGGAAUUACCAUCAUCAAUUAGCAAUCUAAAUGGGCUUGAAAAGUUGGACUUAGGUUAUUGCAAAAACCUUUUGAGUCUUCCGGACAGUAUUUUUAGUUUGAGUUCUCUUCAAACUCUGAAUCUAUUUGAGUGUUCAAAACUAGUGGGCUUUCCGGGUAUCAAUAUUGGAAGUCUAAAAGCUCUUGAAUAUUUGGAUUUGUCAUAUUGUGAGAACAUUGAGAGUCUUCCGAACAAUAUUGGUAGUUUUAGCUCUCUUCAUACUCUUUCAUUGAUGGGGUGUUCAAAACUGAAGGGCUUUCCAGAUAUCAAUAUUGGUAGUUUUAGCUCUCUUCAUACUCUUUCAUUGAUGGGGUGUUCAAAACUGAAGGGCUUUCCAGAUAUCAAUAUUGGAAGUCUAAAAGCUCUUCAAUUGUUAGAUUUCUCACGUUGCAGAAACCUUGAGAGUCUUCCGAACAAUAUUGGUAGUUUGAGCUCUCUUCAUACUCUUUUAUUGGUAGGGUGUUCAAAAUUGAAGGGCUUUCCAGAUAUCAAUUUUGGAAGUCUAAAAGCUCUUCAAUUGUUAGAUUUCUCACGUUGCAGAAACCUUGAGAGUCUUCCCAUGAGCAUUUACAAUUUGAGCUCUCUCAAAACAUUGAGGAUUACAAAUUGUCCAAAACUCGAGGAAAUGUUAGAGAUUGAAUUAGGGGUUGAUUGGCCACUUCCACCUACAACCAGUCACAUUUCAAAUUCAGCAAUAAUCUGGUAUGAUGGCUGCUUUUCCUCAUUAGAAGCAUUAAAACAAAAGUGCCCCCUGUCAUCACUGGUAGAAUUAUCUGUAAGAAAGUUUUAUGGCAUGGAAAAAGACAUCCUCAGUGGCAGUUUCCACCUAUCCUCAUUGAAAAUAUUAUCUCUAGGGAACUUCCCUAGCAUGGCAGGAGGAAUCCUCGAUAAGAUUUUCCAUCUAUCUUCAUUGGUAAAAUUAUCUCUUACUAAAUGCAAGCCAACGGAAGAAGGAAUCCCCAGUGAUAUUCGGAACCUAUCUCCACUGCAACAAUUAUCUCUACAUGACUGCAAUCUAAUGGAAGGAAAGAUCCUCAAUCAUAUUUGCCAUCUAACAUCCUUGGAAGAAUUACAUCUGGGUUGGAACCAUUUUAGUAGCAUUCCUGCUGGCAUCAGUCGACUUUCCAAUCUAAAAGCCCUUGACUUGAGUCACUGCAAGAACCUUCAACAAAUUCCAGAGCUUCCAUCAAGUCUACGAUUUUUAGAUGCGCACUGUUCGGAUCGUAUUUCAUCAAGCCCCUCGCUUCUACCUAUUCAUUCUAUGGUCAAUUGCUUCAAAUCAGAAAUUGAGGUAUGAUUCUCAUGCCACGUUCCUUUUUCUUUCGUACCCAUUGGAUUUACAUGGUGCUUUUGUGCAGGACUGCGUGGUUAUUCAUCGUUAUUCUUCCUUCUGGGGCAAUGGAAUUGGUAUUGUUAUUCCUAGAAGUAGUGGAAUUCUAGAGUGGAUAACGUAUCGGAAUAUGGGAGGGCAUAAAGUAACAAUAGAGCUCCCUCCGAAUUGGUAUGAAAAUGAUGACUUGUGGGGAUUUGCUUUAUGCUGUGUUUAUGUUGCACCUGCCUGUGAAUCUGAGGAUGAAUCUCAGUAUGAAUCAGGUCUUAUAUCUGAGGAUGACAGUGACCUUGAAGAUGAAGAAGCAAGCUUUUAUUGUGAAUUGACAAUCGAAGGAAAUAAUCAAUCAGAAGACGUGGCUGGUUUCGUUCUUGAUUUUCGCUGUGUUAAGGAUGAUGUAUCAGAUAUGCAGUGGGUGAUAUGUUAUCCCAAGUUAGCUAUUGAGAAAAGUUAUCACACCAAUCAAUGGACACACUUCAAGGCUUCAUUUGGUGGGGCCCAAGUGGCAGAGUGCGGAAUCCGUCUGGUAUACACAAAAGAUUAUGAACAGAAACAUCCAACAAUGGCACAAGGCAGUACUUCUCAUGGGAAUUUUGGUGAGCAUGGAUCAGUAAGAGAAGAUGGCAGUACUUCUCAUGGGAAGUUUGGUGACCAUAGAUUAGUAAGAGAAGCUUUACUACUCUAAAGAUACUAAUAGUAAAGAUCACAAUAAAAGGAAUCCCACAGAACAGAGCCCAGGAGAGGAGUCACGUACACCAUAAAAGAUUCAGAGAAACCCAAGACUGAUCCCAAGCAUUAGGCUCAACCACACUUGCAUCAAUAAUGUUCUCUUCCUGGUAAUUCAUCUUCUUUUCUCUUUCAAAUUCAAAGGUCAGAAAUUUUUUUAUCAUGUUUCUCCUUUUUAUUUGUUUUUUCCCCAAGACAAACAAAAAUUUGUGGCUAUCAUCCAUGGGUGCAAACUUCAAUGGUACACCUCCCAAGUUUGUUUUUCUCUCUCUCCAACCGUCUCUCCCUAGAUUUUUCUGCAUUUUCUUCAAACUCAUAUUUCUAUAUGAAAUUCAAUUACAUUCGAGCAUUUCAAUCUCUGUAGCUAAUGUCUGAAUCAUUUCUAGGGUUUCUUUUUUCUGGAAGUUUGUAAUGUUAUUGAUUUAUGACUUGAUGUUUGGGGAUGUUUUGGGUGGCUUGUUCACUUUUUUAUAGCGAUGAUUUAUGGAACCAGAGUUUCUUAGCAGGAAAUGGAACUCGUGUGUUUUAGAAUAUUGGCGUUAUUUGCUUGUGCCCUGUUUGGUUGCUGAGAAAGAGUGGAAGGAGGAUGGAGAAUUAAAUAAUUUUCAAUCUAAGCAAUGAGAAAUUAGAUUUGGGUAUUUGGGCCAUUGGAGUUAUUUGCUCUUACUCAGUUUGGUUUCCAGGAAACUGCAGGCAAAGCAUGGAAAAUAAAGUAUUUUUAAAUUAAUUACCAGGAAAUGGAAUGUACGUAUUUGUCUCUUUGGAAUAUAAACAUCAGUAUUCACUCUUCAAGAAUGUAUAUGGUUGUUGUUUUGGAAUUUUGAAAUUACUUAGCAUCAGACAAUUUCUAACUUGGGAUUUGGAUUGGGAAUCAUAAGUAAUCAUUAGAGAGUAUAUGAGAAGGAGUUUUAGAGUAAGACAGGGUGAUGCAUGUUGAGGGAUGCGUCUCACCCUGGAGUUCUUUGGAAUAAUUAUAGGAUUUUGUAAGUAACUUUGGACUUAUUAGCAAUGUUCUGGAUUUGUGAAUAAUUUAUAGAAUACAUUGGGUGUUUUUUUUUUUUUUUUUUUUUGAGAGUGAAUAAUGUAUGACUGUACUCUUCUCUAUCUCUGUGGUAUGGCACACGUAUGAUUUGGUGCUUUUUUGCAGGCCUUCAACAGCAGCAAAGCAUCUGGUGGCUUGCAGUACUAAUCUUGCAUUAUAUUCUCUGUUUUGCAAUCAUUUGGUACUGUUUGUCCCAACCAAGGAUAGCUCUGUGCAAGCAGUCUCGACUGUGGAACAAGUAAAACAAAUGGUACCUGCUGAAGCUGAGAGGGCAGAUGAUAAGCUGGUGCGGAAGGUGGUCAACCAAAAGAAUCAGACAGCAAAAACUAAAAAGCCCAUCAAGCCUGCUACUGAAGCAGCCUCAGCACCUGUUUCUGGGAGGGGUGAGAUUGAAGUGACUGAAGAAAAGGAGCAUGAGCAAACAAAGAAGGAAGAGGAGUUGGCCAGGAAGGUAGAGGAAUUGAGAAGUGAAGAAGAAGCAGCCAUGUUGAAGGAGAGAAAGCCAACGUUAAGGAGGCACUGGAAAGGAAACAAGGAACUGCAGAAAAGGCCAAUUUCUCUGUGAGUGCUGCCACCUUUUCAUAAUAAUGGAUGUUAAAAGCAGUCUAACUCUACAUGGCGUUUAUUUUCCCCAGCCAUGGAUUGGAAUCUGCCAGUCUAACUCUCAUAAGAAACAAAAUUUUCCAUCCUCAUAUGGAUUAUUGGAGAAGAUUUUAACAUGGAGUUCACUAGAGAGUUUCUAACACCCACUCAAAAAGGACAUUUUAGAGAACUUAUUGAAAAGUUACAUCAGAGUACAUAAAUUUUUAGAUAUUUUUAAAAAUAUCUGAAAAAUUAAAUUAACUAAAAGUAUUUGAAAAAUAUUUGAUUGAAUUAAUAAAUAACUAGUAUUUGCAUAUGAAAAAAUAGUAAACAUAGUCAAUAAUUUUUUUUUUAAUAAUUAGCACAUAAUAAUCAUAAAUUAAUUUAUGGCAAGACCUCAUAUUUGUUGUGGUGACUGUGUUGUCUUACCAUUCUUCUUUCAUGAUGGGCUUAAAUUUUAAUUUAAAUGUAGUAUAAAUAUAUAAUUAGAUUGAUAUUUCGUCCACUAGAAUUGAUUGGGUCUGAAUUUGAACCCUGGUCUUGAAUUUCUUGGCCCAACCAACGAAAUCAUUGACCAACGGCCCUUAGUUUGGGCUGGGCUUGAUGGUCCUCAGGUUAUGCAGGCUUAAUACUGAUUGGGUUUGGGCUUCCAUGCAGUUGUACUUGGAUUCUAUGUUUCCUAAUAUUAACACUAAAAUUAGGUUUAAUUUAUUAACACUAAAUUAGGUUUCAUUUAUAAUUAAAUAUAAUUAGUUUGAGAAUAACUCCAAUCUUUAGUUAAACCAACUAAGUUUUAUGCAAAGGUUUAUAUUCCUAAUACCAUUGAAAAACUAAAUUUAUGUGGAAGUUUGACUGAUACCAACAUUAAAUUAUUAAGAUAAAUUGAAAAAAAAAAAAUCAUGCUCGUAUGUCCUGUUGUUUGUCAUAAGAAAAUUUCUUUUCAGAUUUUUUUUUUCUUUUAAUACAUCUUUACAUUUUUAAUAACAAUCCAUAGGAUUGUUCCCAAACAUAUAUCAUAUAAAUAUAUCUUUUUUGGAUUUUUAAGAAUGUUGUCAAACAAACUCAUAAUACCAUUCUUUCUUUACAAUUACCAAUCCAUAUGAUGAAUUUAUUCCUUUCAAUAACUGACAUCAUCUAAUAAAAAUUAUAAUUAGGUAUUAUAUUUAAAAAGUGUUUAAUAAAUCAAUUUAAUAACUUAAGUGAUUUAAUAACUUAAUUUAAAUUAUUAAAAUAAUUUGAUGUCACAAUUUAAAGUUAAAAUUGAUUUAAUUAAUUUUUAUUUAAAUUUAAAACUAUGUUUACAAAAAAGGCUUAAAAUUCAUAUCAAUUAAGAAAUUAAGUUAUUAAGUUACUUUAAGUCAUUAAAUUAAUCUACCAAUUAAACACCCUUUAAGAUAUGAUAUAAAGUUCACCUCCUACAUAUCAUGAAAAUUAAAAAUUAAUUACCACAUCAAGAAUCUUUAGUUCCUAAUCGAUUUAAUAUUUAAUCCUUGGUUGUGAAUUUCUUUAUAUAUGUAGAUAUAUUUUUAUAUUGCAAGUGGGCUGCCGACUUUUCAUUUUAUACUAGUUUUGAAAAUAAGAUUGUAGUUUUUAUUUUGUCCAAAUCUAAUUUGGAGGGAGAAUCUUUAGAGGCUAUUUUAUAUUCAAAUAGGAAAAUUUUAAAUUUAAUAGUCCCACCUUAUAAAGGCAAAUAUCUUGGACCCUACAUGGGUGCCUCUUACAUGCAUGCACGAGGACAAAGACUUAUUGAAAGCCUCUCUCAUUCACAUGGAUGCCAUCAUUCAUCGAAGUUGAAACAUGAAACCCACACAAAAUAUUUGGGCAAAAGCAACUUCAAUAUUUUUUUUCAUUACUAUAGCUGAGAAUCUCAAUAUUAUUAAAUAGUAAUAAAAUUAAUUUUAAUAUUUUUUUUCUUAUUUUUUCCUCCUUGUGGUUAUAUUUUCAUCCGGAAAGUAUUAAAUAUUAAAAAAGAAUAAAAUUUAAAAAUUAAUUUUUCAUAUUUAAUUAUAUUGUGAAAAAUAUAAAAUAAAAUAUAAUAUAAUUAAAAUUAGUUAAAAUUUUAUAUUUUUAUAAAAUUAUUUAACUUUUUUAUAAAAAUUUAAAAUAAGUGACAUGAGUUUGAAAUAGUAUACAUAUUGACUUUAAAUUUAAUUUUUAUAUUUUUCAUUUUUCUUUUUAACUAUUCUUCUUUCUUCUCUUUCUCUCAACUUUUCCUUCAAAUUUUCCAAUAACCAAACAUAACCUAUUUGUUUCAUAAAAACUCUUUUACCUUUUUAAAUUUUUAAAAGAGUUGCUUACAUAAUAUGGAGCUAAUAGUAUUACUUGUACCUAUUAAUUUCUUUUAAGAUUAAAUUGUUCUAACUUUGUGUGAUAAAAAGUUUGUAAAGUCCAAUUUUACGAAAGAAAAUAUAUGAUUAGUGACUCCCUUGCAUUUCCUUUGGGAUUCACCCCUUCAUACUUACCGUAAAUAGUUGUACCAAUUAAUCAAACAAAAAACAUAGCAUGUAAAUAGUAAUAUGUUAAAGUUUUCUAUCGUGCCUAAGUUUAAUUAGUUCUACUUAUUUAUAUAUUGAAAUGAAAGUAAGCAUAUAUUUAAGUGGUCCAUCAAAUUUGAAACUAAUCUAUUGUAAUUACAUUCAUGUCUAUAUCAUUUAUAUUGUACAUAACUUGAGUACAUUAAAAAUUGUACAAAAAAUCCAAAUUACAAGGAAGUUUAUAUAAACUCUCUUAGGAUUAGACACUGUUAGUCAUUGCCUUCUAAAAAGCUUUCAUCUCUUUCUCCCUCAAGAGGUUUGUAGUCACUUUACACAAGUGUCAAAACUCAAAAGAGUGAUCUAAUGAAGAUGACGAGGUGAUUGAGAUCCUUUUCAUAAACUGGAGUUUGAUAUGGGAACAUUCAUAUCGAAGGUAAAAAUUUUUAUCAGCAACUAGACUUACUUUUAUCUUUCCUUAUAAUUAAACCCAAUAAUCCUAGGUUGUUAGAGACCACACACCUAUGAUCCAAGGGUUUUCCCAACAAGGAUAUCAAUAAAUCUUUCUACUCUAUUGAUGGCAUCUUGAAUUCUUUCAAAUUAAUCACUUCAUUGUAAUCGUUAUUCACUAAAUCCCAUAAAUCUUGAGAUCUAAACAUGACAUUCAUAUGAAUGCAUCAAUUAUUAUAAUUCUUACUUAUGAAUUUUGAAAGUUGAGAUUCAAUUGAGUUAUUAUUUACCAUCAUUACUUUAACAACCAAAUUGCAAAUUUCUUUAUACUAUUCACAUUCUCUGGCAGCCUUUGACCUUCCCUAAUCUUUAGCCUCUAGCUAAUACCACUUGUUUGAGCUCCCAUAAUUGGGCAGCAUUGACAAUAAUUUACUAAAAUAACAUUUUAUUCUAUCCUACUCUCUCUUUGUCAACAUAAUAAUAAACCUCUAUUUAAAAUAAGUUGAUCAUAUUUGCAUUAUCACUCUAAUUCAUAAUUAGAUUGGGAAACCUAAUUAAUAUCAAAUAAAUAACCAUUCCUAAUAUUUCUCAAAUUUAUAAAAUUCUUCUAAUUUGACUUUAAAUUGAUUUUUUAUUUUGACUAUAUAGCUUAAAAAGGAUAAUUUUUUAAAUAAUUAUCAAUUUCAUAUAAUCUUUAUAAGCAUUUGUGUUCAUAAAUUCCUUAUUAUGAUAUUAGGUUUUAGACAAUUUGACAAUAUGAUGAUGUUUUGGAAUGAAUGUUAAGUGAAUCCGUUUUACUCAAAACCAUUAAAUAAAAAAAAAAGACAGUUACACAAGUAAAAUAGUAGAUUAUUGAAGGCCAGGAGAAAAGAAGAGGAAAAUGAAAUAUUAUAUCCCUAUAAUGAGUUAGGUGGAUAUUUCAUGUGAAAAGUUUAAUGUGCAAGGUUGUUCAUGUCUAUUGAGUUUUGGGUAAUCAUUUUUUCAUGGAAAUUUUUUAUGGAAUCCUAAUCUUAGAAAGCAAUAGGAAAUUUUUUUACCAAGAUUUCUAAGAAAUAACUACAUCAAAGUGUAAGAAAAGUAUCAAACUAGAAUAUCUAAGAAAUUACUACAUCAAAGUGUAAUAGAAACAUCAAAUUAGAAAGUGAAAUAUAAUACAAUUCAACUAUGAAAAUGAAGGACAAAGGAAUAGACUAAUUGCCAAAGGAAAAUAGUCUUUUAGUUUUAAUCAGAAAUUUCUUAUAUCAUAAUUAUGACCUGUAGAGGCCACAUGGGUUGUUGGCCUUGGAGUGACUAAAAGGUACAACUAAAAAACGUCAAACAUUUGGAGAACUAAAAGAAAACAUGGAUAAAAUUUUUUUACCUAGAACAUUUAUAUAGAAAUAUUUUAUUUUUUAUUUUUAAAAAAUUAGUAAAGGUAGUAAAGUUUUUUAAAGAUUAUUUUGCGCCCUAAAAACAAAUCGUAAAGGCUUGUUAAAGAUUAUUUUGGAUAUGUUUCAUGCAUUAAUUUUUUUUAACAUUUCAAAUUUUUAAAUGAUUUUUAAAAGUUAUUACCUUUUAAAAUGUAAAUCUCAUAGAGUAUUUGCAUUAUAUAGGAAUUACUAUCAUUUUUAUUUUUUUUAAAAAAGAGAAAUGUAUUCAAAUAAUACCUUAAUUUUUCAUUUUCUAGUAUAAGGAAAUGAUUAUAUCUCACACAAACCUUGUUCAGAUACAUAUUUCAAAGUGAGAAAAAAAAAAUUCUUUUAGAGAAAAGAAGUCCUUCAAAAAGAAGAAAAAAAAAGGUUUUUCAAAGAAGAGUUAGAAGGAAAAGUGAAUUCAAUCUUAUAAUCAGCUAACAUGAUGUUGUUUGAUUACAUUUUUUAUUUUCUAUUUUUACAAAUAAAAUAUAAUAAUAACUCCUAUAUGAAAUAUAGAACUCUUUCAAACUUACUUUAAAAACAUAAUAAUAUUUAAAAAUUAAGAUAAAUUGUGAUAUUAAAAAAAAAAUUACUUCUUCAAAUUUUAAAAAUUAUGAAAAUAAAUUUUUAAUGACAUAAGAUAAGUCUAUAAAUUUUACAUAAAAGUUAUUAUAUUUUAUAUAGAAACUAUUACUAUUUUCUAUUUGUAAAAAUACAAAAUAAAAAAUAUAUCCAAGCAAGUACUAUGAGAAAUAGUUUCUAACAUUUCUUAUUAAGAAAAUGAGAAUAUUAAGAAGUAUAUUCCUACUACAUUGUUUUUUUUUUUAAUUUGAUAUCAACCCAUUCUAUUAGCUCUUUUGAGAAAUAUAGAAAAAUAACAUUACAUAAUUGCAUAGAACAAGAAUAUUAUUUAAGUUUGAGGCAAGUGUUAAAAAGAUAUUGUAAUUCUGUUACGUUGUUUAACUUCAAUGUCCUAUAUGUAACUGUUAGGAAUUUGAGGCUAAUCCAAACUAUAGUAAUCACCCUAGAGGGAGGGGGGGGGGGGGGGUAAAUAGGGUGAUGAUCUCUUUUUCACAAAUCUAAACUAUGCAAAAAUAAGAGACAAUUAUAUGUAAAUAUAUAAUAAACACAAUUACAUAUAAUUUAAAAAAUUUGGGAAAAAAAAGUGCAAAACCGAAAACUUAUAAUGGGUCGACACUUCCUUGGCCACCUUCCCUCUCCUUAAACCCCUAAACGAAUGAGGGUUCCCCUAUUUUGAAGCUUCCACCAAGCUUCCAAACCCUUUACAAAUGGAUUAAGGUUUCCAAUCCCCCUUUUGNNNNNNNNNNNNNNNNNNNNNNNNNNNNNNNNNNNNNNNNNNNNNNNNNNNNNNNNNNNNNNNNNNNNNNNNNNNNNNNNNNNNNNNNNNNNNNNNNNNNAGAGAGUGCAAACACGAGAGCUUAUAGUGGUUCGACACUUCCUUGCCUACGUCCACUCUCCUCAACCUCCUAACCGAGUGAGGGUUCCACUAUCUUGAAGCUUCAACCAAGCUUCCAAUCUCUUUACAAUUGGAUUAUGGUUCCAAUUCACCCUUUUGGACUUUUGGCUCCAAGCACCCUUUACACUUCUCAAAAGUUAUCCCACUCUUGAACAACCUCUCAAGUGAUACCCCUCACUUGAGAAAAUUCCUCUCAAAGAUAUACAAAGAUUGAUCUCACAAAAAUUGUAGUAAUAGAACUUUAAGCUCAAAUGAUACAAGAGAAACUAGGAUUGAAUGGUGCACUAAAGAUAUGCAAGUUUUGGAAUAAUGGUGCACUCAAAAAUACUCUUCCAAGGCUCAAAUAUAAUCAAGAAAGAUUUGGGAAGGUUUAGCUUAUCAAACAACGAAGUUUGGAGCCUUUUUAUAGAAGAAAAAAGUCAUACUAGCCGUUGGGGGUUUGAUCGGUCGAGCUAAGGGUCGACUGGUUGACUAACCAUUAGGAAAAGUGACUGUUGAGCCUCAACCGGACCUCAACCGGUUGAGGUUCAACCUUGACCGGGAAGAGAAGGCCACUAGGAGAGAGAGAAAGUUUUUGGCCUCCCUCAACCGGUCCUCGACCGGACGAGCACAACCAAUCGACCAGUUGAACCGGUUGAGCCAUUUUUUUGGCUCAACACUCAACAUUUUUCAACUUAAAACCUUUUAACACAAAUUUGAAAAUCAUUUAACACAAGGUUUUAGUUGAAAACAUUAAAUCAUCCAAUUCUUAAGAUAUUUAAAACAAUAUUACUCUUGGAUAAUUUUGGUGCAUAAAUAAAUAAUGAAAUGCAUGAAAGUCCUAGUGCACCAACAACCUUACAAAGAGAUCCUAAGAAGCUUUGGUCUUGAAAAACUCUUCUCUUUGAGGUGGUCUUCUUUUUCAUGAUUUCUCCUUGACUUGAUUUGUCUUUGGAUUGCCACUUUGGAAGUCGUCUUGCCUAAUCACACUUGAAAUAUGAUCAUUAGUUCUAAACCUUGUUUUGUUAUCAUCAAAAUCAAGAUUAACCAAACCUUGGUUUCACAGUAACGACUUGUUCCCAACCAUAUAGAUAUUGUCCGCUUUGGACCCAAAUGGGCCCUCACGGUUUUUAAAACUCGUCUACUUGGUUAAGAGGAACUUCUACAUAUAUAGCGUCAGACUUUCCCCCCUAUCCGAUGUGGGAUGUCACAAACACCCCCCUCCCCCCCUCCAUGUAGACACAACGUCCUCGUUGUGUCCCAUGGGAUUGUAGGGUUAAAUAGACAAACACCCCUUAUGAGGUCAAACAAACCCCAACACCGGGGUCGGGGAUCGACUCUGAUACCAUUUAUCAGAAUCCGUACUCAAUUAUAUAUAUAUUGUCCGCUUUGGACCCAAAAGGGCCCUCACGACUUUAAAACGCGUAUACUUGGUUAAGAGGAGUCUCUACACAUAUAGCACCAAGAACUUUUCCCCCUAUCCAAUAUGGGAUGUCACACUAUAUAUGUGUAACAAUUUUUCUUUAAAAAAAUUAGAGGACUUAAAAUGGGCUCUUGUCAACCUUAUUGAUAUUUGAUGUCAAAGGGAUACAACCAACCACCACAAAUAAUUGAGAGAAAAGAAAGGAAAUAAUAAUAAGAGGUAGGCCCCGGGCUCUUGUGAACCUUAUUGAUAUUUGAUACCAAAGGGAUACAACCAACUCCCACAUUUAAUUAAGAGAAAAGAUUGGGAUAUCCUCACCACCAUGUCUAGAUUGCUUUAGUAGGACCAAGAGAAGUCAUUCAGCAUCCAAAGAUCCUCUUCUUCUUCUUCUUCUUUUAAUUCUAAAUGGAGGGACAAUGUGUUCUUGAGUUUCAAAGGUGAAAAUACUCACAAAAGCUUUACUAAUCAUUUCUACUGUAUAUCUUUACUUGUAAUAAAUGUAUAAGAUAUUUGUAUUAACUGUAUAAAACAUGUACAGACCUGUAUAUCUUGAAUUUAUUAAUAUGUUUUUCUUCAUUUUCUUUGUUUUCCAUACCAAAAUACUAAAAAAAUUAUUUACAUAAUUUUUUCUUUUCACAUUUUCAUAUGUAUACAAGACACUUAUACUAAAUGUACAAGAUAUUUUCAUAUUUUGACUAAUGCCUAUACAAAUAUGCAAAUAUAUUGACAAUAGGCAAACUCAUACUAGUCUUGUAUAGUUAUGACAAAUGUCUUAUACAUUUAGGGUGUGUAUACAAUGUUUUCUAAUUCUUUGUAUAGUUAAUACAAAUGUCAUAUAUAUUUUUGAAAAUGUAAAAAAAAAAAAAAGAAGUUAUAUUUGACAUUUACACAUUAUAUAUAAACAAUAUUUCAAUUUAAUAUGGAAAAUGAAAAAAAUGCAAAUAGAUAUAUGUGAAGGGUAAAAAGAGUAUUUUUGUUCGUAAAAUUUCAUGUACUUAAACAUGAAGUAUGCAUCUUUUCACAGAUGUUGGCCAAAUUAUGAACCUCAAACACAAUUGUUUUAAAGAGAAAUGUGAAGAAAAAGAAUAUGAAUGGUAGUUGUAAGAAAAUUAAAAAAUAAAAUCAUUGACUCUUCACUCUACCAAACUAGGGAUGACAACGAGGCGAGUUUGGGAUGGGGCCUCGUUCCGUUUAACUUUUUUUUUUAAUUACUUAAAAUUUUUUUAAUUAUAUUAAAAUAAAUAUAUUUUAUAAAUAAUUAAAUUAUUAUAUUUUUAUAACUUAUUUUAUUAAAAAAUAUUUUUUUUAUUAUUUAUAUAUUAAAAAUAGUAAAAUUAAAAUUAAAAUUAAUUUAAUUUUAAAAAUUAAUUUUAUAUAUAAUAGGGGUGGAGCAAGAUAAGGCAAUAGCUGAAUCUGUCCUGGGUUUUAAAAAGAUUCCCAAACCUGUCCAAAACUCAUUUAGUUAAAAUUGAAACUCAUCCAAUUACGAGCGGGUAUCCGAAAAAACUUGUCCUAUUGUCAUCCCUAUACCCAACCACACUAUCAUCCAAUGAAUAAAACGAAAAUAACUAAAAUUAAGGAACAACCCAAGAAUCAAUGACUUCCUAGCAAGCCCAUCCAUAUCCCAACACGGACAAAAAUAUUUUAAUUUUUUUGCCUUAAAAAUCACGCAUGAAGCUUCCUAGAAAUUUCAUACUUCUUUGUCAUUAUCUAUAUUUUCUACUUCUUUUUCAUCGUCAAUAUUUGUGUAUAUAUAUAAAAUAAAACUUGCAAGAAAAUACAAAAAUGAUAGAUGGCAAAAUGGUUUUUAUGUUAAGAAGGUUCUAAAUUUUUCACACCUUUACAGUAUAAAAAAAAAAAAAAAAAAAAACUUUUUAAAUACAGAACUAUUUCGGACUUGAAUCAUUUUGAAAUUCAGAGACUUGAAAAGUGUUUGUUGGACUUGAAGGAGUUUGGAGUUAAUCUUGAACUUAGAUAUGUUUAGAAAUCAAAGUGGAUUUGAAGAAGAUUGAAAUCCACGACAUGACAACACUGUAAUAUGAAUAGUGUUUUGUCAAAAAAAAUUACUAUUUACUAUUUACUAGGGCAUAAAAGAAAAAUACAAAAUAAUACUCUAAAAAUGCGAAGGAAAGAUUGUUGGUCGUUGAAUAAGGGGAAAAAAAAGAAGAAAAGUAAAAUGUGAAAAAAAAAAGCUUCAAGAGUGCAAUUAAUAAUUGUGGUAGGCCCUGACUUUUGUCUUGUGAACCCGCCUAUUAUUGAAUGGAAAAGGGAUAUAGCCAACCAAAAUAAUUGAGAGUAAAGAAAGGAACACCUCACCACUAUGCUCCAAAUUGAGAGAAAAACAAAGUCAGCCGGCAUCCAAGGACAUUUUUAUUAAAAAAGUAAAGAAAAGAAAUGGUGCUUUAGCUAUUAUCAUAUCAACUCCUAGGAAAUAAAUGAAAAGAACAAGUAAAUGAAAAGAAACAAAAAAAAAAGUUCUUAGAAUGCAAAAAGAAGAUAUUGGAUAUUGAAUGCCCAAAAGAGAAAAAAAUAAAAUGGUAAGAUGUAAAGAAAAGAGUCAGAAAAGCUUCACAAUUGCAAUUAAUAAUUGAGGUACGACUUGGACUUUUGUGAACCCUCACUGUUAAUGCUAAAGGGUUACAGCUAAGGAAAGGAUAAAUGGGAGAGAAGAACAGGACAUCCUCACCACCAUCGUCUUAGCAUCAAAGACCCUCUUUUUUCUUCUUCCAAAUUCUGUUCUUGUAAUUUUGUUACAAUCCAACCAUGGCUUCCUCUAGCAAUUCUAAGAGACCCUUUUGUUCUUCUUCUUCUUCUAAUUCUAAAUGGAGGUACGAUGUGUUCUUGAGUUUCAGAGGCGAGGAUACCCGCAACAACUUUACUAGUCAUCUCUACAAGGAUUUGGAUAAGGCCAACAUUAAAACCUUUAAAGAUGAUGAAGAACUUCGAAAGGGAGGAGAGAUUGCACCCGAGCUCCUAAAAGCUAUUGAAGAAUCAAGGAUCGCCAUUAUCGUCUUCUCGAAAACCUAUGCUCAUUCCAAGUGGUGCUUGGAUGAACUCGUCAAGAUCAUGGAGUGCCAGAAAGAAAAGGGACAAAUAGUUUAUCCCGUUUUCUAUCACGUACGGCCGUGUGAAGUCAGGAACCAGUAUGGGACUUAUGGAGAAGAAUUUAAGAAACACGAGAGCAAUGCGGACGAGGAGAAGAAGAAGAAAAUAGGGGAGUGGAGGACUGCCUUAAGGAAAGCCGGUGAUUUGAGUGGAUUUAGUCUGCGGGAUAGGUAAUCCCUACUUCACUUUUUCCAUUUCCAAUUUUCUGUCAGUUUAUUUUCAUUCUUGUUAGUAAAUAAAAUAUUUAUGAUUACAUAUAUCAAUCAAAAUCCAGUUUUUAAGUAGUAGACAUUAAUAUGUUUGAUUUCUUGGAAAGUAAUAAGAAGAGUUAAAAAUAAAUAAAAAUAAAAAUUUAAAAAAUUUGAUUUUCUUAUAUUUAAUGUAUUAUUAAAAAAUAUGAAAGAAAAUAAAAAUAUAAUUAAAAUACAUUGUAAAAAUAUAUAUAAUUAGUUUAUAAUUAAAAUAAUCUUAGAAAAUCUAUAGUAGUUGUUCUGGGCUCAUUCAGGCCCAACAGGUAAUCCCUAUUUCACUUUUUCCAUUACCAAUUUUCUGUCGGUUUAUUUUCAUUCUUGUUAAUAAAUAAAAUAUUUAUGAUUACAUUUAUCAAUCAAAAUCCAUUUUUAAGUAGUAGACAUUAAUAUGUUUGAUUUCUUGGAAAGUAAUAAGAAAGAGUAAAAAAAAAAAUUGACUUUCUCACAUUUAAUUUAUUAUUAAAAUUAUAAAAGGAAAUCAAAUAUAAUUAAAAUAUAUCGAAAAAAAAAAUAUUUGCCUACAAUUGGGAUAAUAUUAGAAAAUCUAUAGUAGGUGUUGUGGGCUCAUUCAGGCCCAGGUAAUACUGGUAAAAAAAUAAAAUAAAAUAAUUAUGCCAAAUGCCAAGUUUUGAAUUGUUAAAAAUCUUUAAGAUUCCAAAAUAUUCUUCCUUUCUAAUCAAUCCAUCUCAGCCAUAAUUUCUAUCAAUUAAAUUGUUCAAAUUGGUUAUUUAUAUGCUUUGUAAAUUUGGAGAUAAUCUGAGAUGAUUAUUUAAAAUAUUGUAAUACUACCCUAAAUUUUUUUGGACCCUCUUAUGGGACAAAAAACUUAGUUAUUGCACCCUUAACCUUUUUCAAUUUUAGAGGAAUUUUCUAUUACUAAAAUAAUUUUCUCAUGUUCUCUGUGCACUACAUGAGUUUACAUUUCUUCUUUACUUAAUAUUGUUUGUUCCUCUAUAUUUGCAAGUUGAUUAUUAAAUUUAUUUACCUUUUAAUCUAAUGUUUGUAUCUCGUUUUAUUCUAAUUAUCCCAUGACAUCUGGAUAAUCUCUUCUUAAGACCUUGACAUGACAUAAUGAAAUUUUAUUUAAACAUGCAAUUCAACACAUUUUUAAUUUACAUUCUAUUUGACCUUAAUUUAAUUGCACCGAACUAAAGAUCAUUCUAUAAUUUCCAUUUACUUCAUCUUUGUUUUCUUUGACAAUUGAUUGUAGCUUACUCCAUGUUUUAUUGUACUUUAUAAUGGACAGAUCUGAGGCAGAGUUUAUUGAAGAAAUCAUUGGUGAGAUUCGAAGAUUAAUUCCUAAGUGGGUACAUGUUGGUGAGAAUAUUGUUGGAAUGGAUGAAAAUUUGAAAAAAGUGAAGUUAUUGAUAGAUGCCCAAUCAAAUAAAGUGAGUAUGGUUGGGAUUUAUGGGACUGGUGGGAUUGGUAAAACUACCAUCGCCAAGGUUGUUUACAAUGAUAUGUUAGAUCAAUUUAAAUGUCACAGCUUUCUUGAAAAUGUGAGAGAGAAAUAUGAAGAUAAAGGUGAUUUGCUUCAAUUACAAAAAGAACUUCUUUGUGAUAUCCUAAUGGAGAAAAAUCUGGUGUUAAGGAAUAUUGAUGAAGGAUUUAAAAAGAUAAAGAGUAAGCGUCACUCUGAAAAGGUUCUUAUUGUUCUUGAUGAUGUAGGUUGUGAAGAACAAUUAAAAUUCUUAGCUCCUAAUUCUGAAUGUUUUCAUCCAGGAAGCAUAAUCAUUGUGACCACGAGAAAUAAGCGUUGCCUAGAUGUAUAUGACUCGUAUUCAUCAUAUGAGGCUAAGAGAAUGGCAGACAAGCAAGCUGAGGAACUCUUUUGUUGGAAUGCCUUCAAGCAAGACCAUCCCAUAGAAAAUUUUGUGGGCCUCUCUAAUCGUAUACUGGAUUAUGCUGACGGCCUUCCAUUGGCUCUUGUAGUUUUGGGUUCUUUUCUCUUUCAAAGGCCUAUGGAUGAAUGGGAAAGCACAUUGGAUGAACUCAAAACAAUCCCUCCCGAGAAUAUUCAAAAGGUACUCCAGAUAAGUUAUGAUGGACUAAGUGAUGAACGCAAGAAGUUGUUUCUUUAUAUUGCAUGCUUCUUCAAAGAUGAGGAUGAAAAAAUGGCAACAAGAAUACUAGAAAGUUGCAAAUUACAUCCCGCUAUUGGACUAAGAGUUCUUCAUGAGAGGUGUCUUAUUUCUAUAGAGGACAACACUAUAAGGAUGCAUGACUUGUUACAAGAAAUGGGUUGGGCAAUUGUUUGCAAUGAUCCAGAACGUCCAGGAAAAUGGAGCAGAUUGUGCGAAUUACAGGAUAUUGAAAGUGUAUUAUCACAAAAUGAGGUAAGAGAAAAAUACAUGAACAUACUUGAGAUCUAAAGACAUAAAAGAUUCAACAAGAUUUAUUUUUAUUAUUAUUAUAGUUUGAGUAUAUUAUCUAUAUAAUUUUAGUGAAUCCCUAUGCAUCUUAUACUGCUCAUUCUCAAUCCUUGUUUUCAGUGGACAAAAAACAUUGAGGGGAUUUUCACAAGUCAGUCUCGCCAUACAGGAAAACAUAUACAACUUACUACUGAAGUUUUCAGAAAUAUGAAUCAACUUAGAUUGCUCAAAGUCGAAUUCAAUCAGAUCGUGCAGCUUUCCCAAGACUUUGAAUUGCCUUGUCAUGAUUUAGUAUAUUUUCAUUGGGAUUACUACCCUUUAGAAUAUUUGCCAUCAAAUUUUCAUACAGACAAUCUUGUUGAACUCAACCUCUGGUGUAGCCGCAUAAAACAUCUUUGGGAAGGAAAUAUGGUAUUGCUAUUAUUUAGUUAUAUUUUUGUUGUAGACUAAUUUUAAAGUCUUUUGAAGUUUACUUCUUGACACAAAUUUUCUUCUGUUACAGCCUGCUAAAAAGUUAAAAGUCAUUGAUCUUAGUUAUUCCAUGCAUCUGGUUGACAUUUCAAGCAUCUCAAGUAUGCCAAAUUUGGAGACUCUAACUCUAAAAGGUUGUACAAGGUUCCUUAAGUGUUUCAUCCAUGCUAAAUGUUAUUAUCAGUCAUGAACUAAUUGUUUUCUUGAAUAUAAUAGGGUGCACGAGACUUAAGAGUCUUCCAAGGAACUUUCCUAAGUUGGAAUGCCUUCAAACACUCUCUUGUUGUGGCUGUUCAAACUUAGAGAGUUUUCCGAAGAUCGAGGAAGAAAUGAGAAGUCUAAGAAAGCUUAAUUUAAGUCAAACAGGUAUAAUGGGAUUACCAUCAUCAAUUAGCAAGCUAAAUGGGCUUAAAGAGUUGGACUUAAGUAGUUGCAAAAAGCUUUCGAGUCUUCCGGACAGUAUUUAUAGUUUGAGCUCUCUUCAAACUCUCAAUCUAUUUGCAUGUUCACGACUAGUGGGCUUUCCGGGUAUCAAUAUUGGAAGUCUAAAAGCUCUUAAAUACUUGGAUUUGUCAUGGUGUGAGAACCUUGAGAGUCUUCCGAAUAGUAUUGGUAGUUUGAGCUCUCUUCAAACUCUUUUAUUGAUAGGGUGUUCAAAACUGAAGGGCUUUCCAGAUAUCAAUUUUGGAAGUCUAAAAGCUCUUGAAUCGUUAGAUUUCUCAGGUUGCAGAAACCUUGAGAGUCUUCCCGUGAGCAUUUACAAUGUAAGCUCUCUCAAAACUUUGGGGAUUACAAAUUGUCCAAAACUCGAGGAAAUGUUAGAGAUGAAACUAGGGGUUGAUCCAUGCCCCUGGCCAUUUUCACCUCUAACCUGUCACAUUUCAAAUUCAGCAAUAAUCUGGGAUGAUCACUGGCAUGACUGCUUUUCCUCAUUAGAAGCAUUAGACUCACAGUGCCCCCUGUCAUCACUGGUAGAAUUAUCUGUAAGAAAGUUUUAUGACAUGGAAGAAGACAUCCCCAUUGGCAGUUCCCACCUAACCUCAUUGGAAAUAUUAUCUCUGGGGAACGUCCCUACAGUAGUAGAAGGAAUCCUCUAUGACAUUUUCCAUCUAUCUUCAUUGGUAAAAUUAUCUCUUACUAAAUGCAAGCCAACAGAAGAAGGAAUCCCCCGUGAUAUUCAGAACCUAUCUCCACUGCAACAAUUAUCUCUACAUGACUGCAAUCUAAUGAAAGGAACGAUCCUCGAUCAUAUUUGCCAUCUAACAUCCUUGGAAGAAUUAUAUCUGGGUUGGAACCAUUUUAGUAGCAUUCCUGCUGGCAUCAGUCGACUUUCCAAUCUAAAAGCCCUUGACUUGAGUCACUGCAAGAAGCUUCAACAAAUUCCAGAGCUUCCAUCUAGUCUACGAUUUUUAGAUGCGCACUGUCCGGAUCGUAUUUCAUCAAGCCCCUUGCUUCUACCUAUUCAUUCUAUGGUCAAUUGCUUCAAAUCAAAAAUUGAGGUAUGAUUCUCAUGCCACGUUCCUUUUUCUUUUGUACCCAUUGGAUUUACAUGGUGCUUUCGUGCAGGGGCGCAAGGUUAUUAAUAGGUAUUCUUCCUUCUAUGGCAAUGGGAUUGGUAUUGUUAUUCCUAGUAGUGGAAUUCUAGAGUGGAUAACGUAUCGGAAUAUGGGAAGGCAAGUAACAAUAGAGCUCCCUCCGAAUUGGUAUAAAAAUGAUGACUUGUGGGGAUUUGCUUUAUGCUGUGUUUAUGUUGCACCUGCCUGUAAAUCUGAGGAUGAAUCUCAGUAUGAAUCAGGUCUUAUAUCUGAGGAUGACAGUGACCUUAAAGAUGAAGAAGCAAGCUUUUAUUGUGAAUUGACAAUCGAAGGAAAUAAUCAAUCAGAAGACGUGGGUCAUUUCUUUCUUCAUUCUCGCUGUAUUAAGGAUGAUGUAUCAGAUAUGCAGUGGGUGAUAUGUUAUCCCAAGUUAGCUAUUGAGAAAAGUUAUCACACCAAUCAAUGGACACACUUCAAGGCUUCAUUUGGUGGUGCCCAAGUGGAAGAGUGCGGAAUCCGUCUUGUAUACAGAAAAGAUUAUGAACAGAAGCAUCCAAGAAUGGCACAAGGCAGUACUUCUCAUGGGAAUUUUGGUGAGCAUGGAUCAGUAAGAGAAGAUACUGAUAGUAAAGCUCACAAUAAAAGGAAUCCCACAGAACAGAGCCCAGGAGAGGAGUCACACCAUAAAAGAUCCAGAGAAACCCAAGACUGAUCUCAAGUAUUAGGCUCAACCACACUUGCAUCACUAAUGCUCUCUUUACUGGUAAUUCAUCUUCCUUUCUCUUUCUAAUUCAAAGGUCAGAAUUUUUUUUUUAUCGUGUUUCUCCUUUUUAUUUGUUUUUUUUUUCCCCAAGACAAACAAAACUUUGAGGCUAUCACCCAUGGGCGCAAACUUCAAUGGUACACCUCCCAAGUUUGUUUUUCUCUCUCUCCAACCGUCUCUCCCUAGAUUUUUCUGCAUUUUCUUCAAACUCAUAUUUCCAUAUGAAAUUCAAUUACAUUCGAGCAUUUCAAUCUCUGUAGCUACUGUCUGAAUCAAUUAUAGGGUUUCUUUUUUCUGGAAGUUUGUAAUGUUAUUGAUUUAAGACUUCAUGUUUGGGGAUGUUUUGGGUGGCUUGUUCACUGGUAUUACUUGUGAUAAUUGCAGCUCUGGUGCUUUCAAUGACUGACAAUAGUUGAAACUAUGUUGAAUGCUUGUACUAAGGGAAUGGACUUCAGCUGCUCCAGGGUUAGUGCUAUAACAUCAGUAUUCACUCUUCAAGAAUGUAUAUAGUUGUUGUUUUGGAAUUUUGAAAUUACUUAGCAUCAGACAAUUUCUAACUCGGGAUUUGGAUUGGGAACCAUAAGUUAUCUCACCCUAGUGUUCUUUGGAAUAAUUAUAGGAUUUUGUAAGUAACUUUGGACUUGUUAGCAAUGUUCUGGAUUUGUGAAUAAUUUAUAGAAUACAUUGGGUGUUUUUUUUUUUUGGUCCAUCAAAAACUUCAAGAACUUUGAGGGUGAAUAAUGUAUGACUGUACUCUUCUCUAUCUCUGUGGUCAUAGCACACGUAUGAUUUGGUGCUUUUUUGCAGGCCUUCAACAGCAGCAAAGCAUCUGGUGGCUUGCAGUACUAAUCUUGCAUUAUAUUCUCUGUUUUGCAAUCAUUUGGUACUUUUUGUCCCAACCAAGGAUAGCUCUGUGCAAGCAGUCUCGACUGUGGAACAAGUAAAACAAAUGGUACCUGCUGAAGCUGAGAGUGCAGAUGAUAAACUGGUGCGGAAGGUGGUCAACCAAAAGAAUCAGACAGCAAAAACUAAAAAGCCCAUGAAGCCUGCUACUGAAGCAGUCUCAGCACCUGUUUCUAGGAGGGGUGAGAUUGAAGUGACUGAAGAAAAGGAGCAUCAGCAAACAAAGAAGGAAGAGGAGUUGGCCAGGAAGGUAGAGGAAUUGAGAAGUGAAGAAGAAGCAGCCAUGUUGAAGGAGCAAAGUCUGUUGGAGGAGAGAAAGCCAACGUUAAGGAGGCACUGGAAAGGCAACAAGGAACUGCAGAAAAGGCCAAUUUCUCUGUGAGUGCUGCCACCUUUUCAUGAUACAGCCAUCAUAAUGGAUGUUAAAAGCAGUCUAACUCUACAUACUUCCUUGCAUUAUACUAGUCAUUGAUGGGCUUAAAUUUUAAUUUAAAUGUAGUAUAAAUAUAUAAGUAGAUUGAUUGGGUCUGAAUUUGAACCUGGUUCGAGUCAUACUCCCAUCCAAUCCAAACUUGUGAUUGGGCUUGAAUUUCUUGGCCCAACCAGCGAAAUCAUUGACCAACGGCCCUUAGUUUGGGCUGGGCUUGAUGGUCCUCAGGUUAUGUAGGCUUAAUACUGAUUGGGUUUGGGCUUCCAUGCAGUUGUACUUGGAUUCUAUGUUUCCUAAUAUUAACACUAAAUUAGGUUUAAUUUAUAAUUAAAUAUAAUUAGUUUGAGACUAACUCCAAUCUUUAGUUAAACCAACUAAGUUUUAUGCAAAGGUUUAUAUUCCUAAUACCAUCAGGUAUUAUAGUAAAUACCAUUGAAAAACUAAAUUCAUGUGGAAGUUUCACUAGGUGAUACGACAUUAAAUUAUUAAGAUAAAAUUAAAAAAAGAUCAUGCUCGUAUGUCCCGUUGUUUGUCAUAAGAGAAUUUCUUUCUAGAUUUUUUUUUUUUUGCUCUUUUCAAUUCUAGAUAUUUUAAUAUAUCUUUACUUUUUCAAAAACAAUCCAUAGGAUUGUUCCCAAACAUAUAUCAUAUAAAUAUAUAUUUUUAAGAUUGAUUUUUAAGAAUGUUAUCAAAUAAACUCAUAAUAGCAUUUUUUUCUUUACAAUUACCAAUUCGUAUGAUGAAUUAAUUACUUUCAAUAACCGACAUCAUCUAAUCAAAAUUAUAAUUAAGUAUCAUAUUAAAAGAGUGUUUAAAAAAUCAAAUUUAAUAACUUAAAGUGAUUUAAUAAUUUAAUUUAAAUUAUUAAAAUAACUUGAUGUCACAAUUUAAAGUUAGAAAUGACUUAAUUUAUUUUUAUUUAAAUUUAAAACUAAGUUUACAAAAAAGGUUUAAAAUUCAUAUCAAUUAAGAAAUUAAGUCAUUAAGUUACUUUAAGCCAUUAAAUUGAUCUACCAAUUAAACACCCUUGAAGAUAUUACAUAAAGUUCACCUUCUACAUAUCAUGAAAAUUUAAAAUUAAUUACAACAUCAAGAAUCUUUAGUUCCUAAUCGAUAUCAUAUUUAAUCCUUGGUUGUAAAUUUCUUUACAUAUGUAGAUAUAUUUUUAUAUUGCAAGUGGGUUGCCGACUUUUCAUUUUAUACUAGUUUUGAAAUUAAGAUUGUAGUUUUUAUUUUGUCCAAAUCUAAUUUGGAGGGAGAAUCUUUAGAGGCUAUUUUAUAUUCAAAUAGGAAAAUUUUAAAUUUAAUAGUCCCACCUUAUAAAGGCAAAUAUCUUGGACCCUACAUGGGUGCCUCUUACAUGCAAAAGGACAAAGACUUAUUGAAAGCCUCUCUCAUUCACAUGGAUGCCAUCAUUCAUCAAAGUUGAAACAUGAAACCCACACAAAAGCAAUUUCAAUAUUUUUUUUCAUAACUAUAGCUGAGAAUCUCAAUAUUAUUAAAUAGUGACAAAAUUAAUUUCAAUAUUUUUUUUUCUUAUUUUUUGCUCCUUGUGGUUAUAUUUUCAUCUGGAAAGUAUUAAAUAUAUUAAAAAAGAAAAAAAUUAUAAAAAAAUUUUUUUCCUAGUUAAUUAUACUAUGAAAAAUAUAGAGUAAAAUAAAAUAUAAUUAAAAUUAGUUAAAAAAUUAUAUUUUUAUAAAAUUAUUUGACUUUUUUAUAAAAAUUUAAAAUAAGUGACAUGAGUUUGAAAUAGUAUAUAUAUUGACUUUAAUUCUUUCAAAUUAAUCACUAGGUUGUUAGAGACAUACACCUAUGAUCCAAAGGUUUUCCCAACAAAGAUAUCAAUAAAUCUUUCUACUCCAUUGAUUGCAUCUUGAAUUCUUUCAAAUUAAUCACUUCAUUGUAAUCAUUAUUCACUUCAUUGUGAUUUGUCAGACAACAAUUCAUUUCUGCUUCAUGGUUGGACCUUGAGGUAAGGCUUUAGAGGCAUAAGCCUCAAAAGCCUCUUAAAAUUGGUUCUACACUUCUUGCAUGAUGAAUGCAAGUUCCAAAUUUUGAUGACUUGGUAAUGUUGGAGUAAUUGGGUUGAAAGCAGUCAAACACAAAUAUUUAUUAAAGAAGAUAAAAAUUUGGAAGAAUUAAAAUUUUAUUGUAUUCUACCACUCUUUUUUUUAUUCAAAUAUUACAUAAUCCUUUAUUAACUAAAAAUGACAUAAUUAAAAGUAAAUUAUCAUUUGAUUGCAAUGGAUUUAAUAGAAUAUGGUGGAUAUGCUAAAUUUUUGUCUGAUAAUAAAAUUUGAUUUGAGUGAAUAUAAUUAGAGUAAAAUAGUCUUUUUAACUAUCACUUUUACAAUAAAAAGUGUUUUAUUUAAACAAAUAUUUAAUAAAAUUUUAAAAACAUUUGAUAAAUAAUUAUUAUAAAAACUCUUCCUCGAAAAUACUUCAAAGUUCGUCGGAUGGUAAAUUAUACAUCAAGAUCUUAAUGAUGGUCCAUGCAACCAUCACCAUUGAUUGUUUUUGAAAACACAACUUCAAUUUAAAUAAUAUUUUAAGGUAACUCCUAGUUAUCAUAUUUUACAAGAUAUUUUUUAAAAUUAUUGUUUUUUUUCUUUCAAAAUCCUAAGAGAGAGGUCACCAAUAUCAAAAUAAUGUGACCCAUCUCUAUACUAUUGUCUCCAUUAUUUGGACUAUAUCAUAGUUUCCUUAUUGACAACAUGGUAGCCAUGUUAAAUACCUACAACUUUGAAAACAAGAUCUCAAAACUAUGCCUAUUUGAUUAUAAGGCUUAAUUAUUAUAGUUUAUCAUUUCCUAGCAUAUAUAGUUCUUAGCAUCUAAGUAUUUGUUAUAUAAGAAUUUUUCUCAUUUUUCAAGCUUGCAUUUUGUUUAGAAAUUUUUUGAGUUUUUUACAAUCAUUUUGAAAAUGUCAACUCAUAAUUAUAUACAUUUUAGUUCUAUAAGGACUAAAAUCACUUAACAUCAUGGUAAUACUAUUUAAGGUAAUUUGCUUUGAAUCAGAAUGAACUUAUAUACAACUUACGAUUUAUGGUAAUAAUAGAGAUCGAAUUUAAAAAUACAUAAGUUUUCAAUUAAAUAUUAAUAUAUUUAUGUUUCCUUCUUAUUUUUAAUCCUAAAACACAUUAAAUGUAUGCUCUUGAAUUCCUCCAUGUAAUGCGAUUUGAUAUAAUGAUAAAUCAACAAUUAUGAUUUAAUAAUAUGGUGCUUUGACUUUUGACAUUUAAGUAACACCGUCAAUAAAAGCUCCAUAUCUUUGCUUCAUGGAAGAACGUACAAAUGAUGUGAUUGAAUUACAUUUCAAUUAUGUUUGAUUCUUUGAAAAUACUCAAGAAAAAUAAAUAUUUAAAAAAAUAAUUUUCUCAUAUUUGAUUUUACUAUAAAAAAAAUACAUAAUUAAAAUUAGUAAUAAAUUUAAAUAAUUUUAAAUUACUUAAUCUUUAUAUAAAAAAGUUAAAUUAGUAAAACGAGUUUAAAACAUGAUAUAAAGGUAAUUUAUUGACUUUAAUUUUUUUUUUUUACUUCACUUUUUCUUUCCUUCUCUUUGAUGAGAUCAUCUUAGAUAAAUUGUUAAUUGAUUGCAGCAUAUUCAAUUGAAUUCGAUAGUCUAGGUAUCAUAAAUCAUACAUGUUGUGCACCAUUUACAGUAAAUGAACCGUCACAAACCAUACAUAGAGGAGAUGUUGAUUUCAUUAUAAAUCAUACGAUAAUUACAAAAGAUAUGAUAUUAACUUGCAGUAAAUUGCAACAUCGGCACUCUAAUGCUAGACAAAGUAACUAGACAAAGUAAGUCUAAUUAUUGCUAACUUUCCUCAUCUUUCUUGGGCCUUUUGGGUGCUUUUUGUGCAAAAGAGAAAAAGCUAUAACUAAAUUGCCAAUCCAUCACCGACGUUAUAGACUGAUGAAGAAUACCAAAGGGAGUGUUACGAAAUAAUGAGAAUAAAUAAUAAGAAAAAUAGAAUAAGAACACAUAGAUAUACGUGAAAAACUUUAGAUGGGAAAAAUCAUGAGAAAACGAGAAAAAGAUCCGUUAUGUCAAAAAUUGGUACAAAAUGGGAGAGUUGAAAGCGACUACAACAAAAGUAUAAUCAUCGUAACCCUAAAACUAUACAUCAUUAUUAUAUAUAUAUAUAUAUGUAUAUAUAUAUAUAUGCGAGAGUUGAGAACAACUAUGGGAUGAGGUCUAUCGACUCGAUCCCUUCACUACCCCCACAAAUCUCUCAAAAAAUCUCAUAAUUUUAACUUUACUACAUAUAUUGCAUCGCGAGCUUUUCGAAUUGAAUAAAAAAGAAUUUGGAAUCAUCAAACAGUAACAAAGGGAGUGAGAUCAUAACUUUGGAAGGAUUUUUUUUUUUUUUAAAUGUAGACUUGAAUGGUAAAUACUAAAAUGUGUUUGAGAGUGAUACUUGAAAGUAUUUUUAAUAUUUUUAAUAUUCGAAAAAUAAAAAAUUUUCAAAUAUUAAAAAUAUUUCCUAAAAUCAAUAUCAAAAACCAUUUUACAAAAUCAGUAUCAAACUAUCAAACAUAAUUUGAAUUUAAAUAGAGACAAGAACAACAUUGACUCUUGACUCACCAAACCAGUCCUAGUUCACUUAUUGAAUGAAAAGAAAAUAAUUAAAAAUAAAUAACAGCAUCCAUUCUACCAUGUUAUGAAGAGUAAAAGACAAUGGAGAUUUUAACUUUGUUGCCUUAAAAGUCAUGCCCCCUUUCAUGAGUAUAUAUAAUAAAAUAUAUUCGUUUGCAUCUCUUGAAUGCAAAUAAUUUGAUAAUUUUUUUAUAAUUAAUUUAUGAAGAUAACAAUUUGAUAAUUAGACAAUUAUGUUGAUAUUUUGACAUUAUUAUCAAUUUACCAAAUAAGAUUGUUUUUCACCCAACAAUAAUUUACUUAGAAUAAUAAAUAAAUUAAAUUAGCUAACGUAACCAAAGCAUUUGAUUAAAAAUUGGUUUUCAUUUACAAAGAUAAGUUGAAAAUUAAUUUUAAUUUGAUUUAAUUAGGAAAUUAAUUUUUUGCUUGUUAAGUUUGUUUUAAUUUGUAAAUUCAUGUAAAUAAAAAAAAGGAUAAAAAGAUAAUUUUCAUGUGAAAAUUCAUUUAAUUUGAAAAUAAAUGAUGUAAUGUGUUUCAUUGUCGGUUAGCAUUUUUCUUUUUUUCUUGUUUGUAUAACUUUUUAAAAUGUAAAAGAUAAUAAUAAAAUAAGAAAUAAUCAAUAAAUUAAAAAAAUAAAAUAAAUGAUCUCACUAAAAAUGUUUUUUUACCUUAUGUCAUAUGACUUGGAUUAUUUUUUUUCUCUUUUCAGUAAAACAAACUUUUAAUAUAAAUAAAAAAAUAAAAUAGGACAUAGAGGAAAAUAGCUAAAGAGUAUAAAAAAAAUUCAAAAUAAUGCACUAAAAAUGGAAAGAGAAUAUGGUGAGUAGUUGAAUAAUAAUAAAUAAAAAAAAGUCAAAAAAGCUUCAAUACUCUUUGAAUCCACUGUUAGUGAAUGCCAAAAGGCAUACAUCAUACACGCAACUAGAAAUAAAAUGGUAAAAUAUAAAGAAAAGAGUCAGAAAAAGCACGAAGACUACAAUUAAUAAUCGUGGCAGGACUUCGACUCUCGUGAACCCCCCACUGUCACUCAAUGCUAUAGGGUUACAGGCUUGGAGCCAAUCAAAGAUAAUUGAGACAGAAGAACCAGACAUCCUCAACACCAUCGUCUCAGACUCUCAGCAUUCAAAGACCCCUUUGUAUUUUCUUCUUCCAAAUUCUGUUCUUGUAAUUUUGUUACAAUCCAACCAUGGCUUCCACUAGCAAUCCCAAGAGACCCUCUUCUUCUUCUAAUUCUAAAUGGAGGUACGAUGUGGUCUUGAGUUUCAGAGGCGAGGAUACCCGCAACAACUUUACUAGUCAUCUCUACAAGGCUUUGGAUCAUGCCAACAUUGAAACCUUUAUAGAUGAUGAAGGACUUCCAAGGGGAGAAGAGAUUGCGCCCGAGCUCCUAAAAGCUAUUGAAGGAUCAAGGAUUGCCCUUAUUGUCUUCUCGAAAACCUAUGCUCAUUCCAAGUGGUGCUUGGAUGAACUCGUCAAGAUCAUGGAGUGCGAGAAAGAAAAGGGACAACAGGUUUUUCCUAUUUUCUAUCAUGUAGAGCCGUCUGAAGUCAGGAACCAGACUGGGAUUUAUGGAGAAGCAUUUAACAAUCACGAAAGAAAUGCAGACGAGGAGAAGAAGAAGAAGAAGAUAGAGCAGUGGCGGACUGCCUUAAGGAAAGCUGGUAAUUUGAGUGGAUUUCCUCUGCAGGAUAGGUAAUCCCUACUUCACUUUUUCCAUUCCCAAUUUUCUGUCAGUUUAUUUUCAUUCUUGUUAAUAAAUAAAAUAUUUAUGAUUACAUUUAUCAAUCAAAAUCCAUUUUUAAGUAGUAGACAUUAAUAUGUUCGAUUUCUUGGAAAGUAAUAAGAAAGAGUAAAAAAAAAAAAAAAAAAGAUUUUCUCACAUUUAAUUUAUUAUUAAAAUUAUAAAAGGAAAUCAAAUAUAAUUAAAAUAUAUCAGAAAAAAUUAUAUUUGCCCAGCAGGUGGAAAUGCCAAGUUUUGAAUUGUUAAAAAUCUUUAAGAUUCCAAAAUAUUCUUCCUUUCUAAUCGAUCCAUCUUAGCCAUAAUUUCUAUCAGUUAAAAAAAAUGGUAGUCUGUCAAAUAAAUUGUUAAAAUUGGUUAUUUAUAUGCCUUGUAAAUUUGGAGAUAAUCUGAGAUGAUUAUUUAAAAUAUUGUAAUACUACCCUAAAUUUUUUUGGACCCUCUUAUGGGACAAAAAACUUAGUUAUUGCACCCUUAACCUUUUUCAAUUUUAGAGGAAUUUUCCAUUACUUAAAUAAUUUUCUCUUCUUCUCUGUGCACUACAUGAGUUUACAUUUCUUCUUUACUUAAUAUUGUUUGUUCCUCUAUAUUUGCAAGUUGAUUAUUAAAUUUAUUUACCUUUUAAUCUAAUGUUUGUAUCUCGUUUUAUUCUAAUUAUCCCAUGACUCUUCUUAAGACCUUGUCUUUCACGUUGAAUCAUCUAAUGCUAAACUUAUUCCCUUACUAUUCUACUUUGUGUACUCAUGGGAUUAAUGUAUUGCAAUCAAAAUUAUUUUUUUUAAUCUCUUUUUCUCUUGUAUGUUCUACAUUCCUCUAUACCUCACAAAUAAAAGCAAGUAACCUUACAGCUUGUUUGACAAUAUAUUUGCAACUAAUGUUCAAAAAAUAGUUUUCCCCAACACAAUGUUGAAAAUAAUGAACAAAAUUUUAUUUGAAAAUUCAAAUAUGAAGAACGACUUUCUCGACUUAUUAACUAUGAAGGUGCUAUAAAUUUUUGUACAACAUAACAAUUCUCUAAGUAUUAUCUAUAUUUUCAAUUCUUUAUCACAAUACUCUAUAAGAAAAUACCUAAAAACAUUUCAAAUAUGCUCUUAAAAAUGAACUUGUUUACCAAACAAAUUUUUGAAAAUUAUUUUUAAUAAAAGAAAAAAUUAAAAAUAUAAUCAAGUGACAUGAAAUAUGGGAUGAAAAAUAAUAAGUUCUGUAUAUUAGAUUGACUAUACACACAGUUUAUAUUGGAUAUUACAAGAGAAGAAAUAAGAAACAAGAGACAUAAUAGAAAACUAACUUAUUCAUAAACUAACUUAUUCCUAAAUCAUAAAACUAUCUAUUUACAAAAAUAAAAAACUAAUAUAAUAUGAAAAUAAUUCUCCUAUUCUAUUUACAGCUCAAUUACAACCUAUUUACAGCUCAACACUCCCCCUCAAGCUAAGGAAUAGAUGUCUUCCAUUCCAAGCUUGAAUACAAGAUCGUGAAACAUUGAACUGUUCAGCCCUUUUGUUAGGAUAUCAACUAAUUGAUGUUUUGAUGGAACAUAGGACAUACACACUACUCCUUCCUCCAAUUUUUCUUUGAUAAAAUGCCUAUUAAUCUCAAUAUGUUUUGUCCUAUUGUGUUGUAUAGGGUUAUGAGCAAUAUUGAUAGCUGACUUGUUGUCACAAUAGAGCUUCAUAUGACCAUCCCACUUGAUUCUCAAAUCAUCUAGAAUAAUCUUCAGUCAAAGUAGUUCAUACAACCCUUGAGCAAUGUCCCUAAACUCUGAUUUUGCAGACGACCUUGCUACCACAUUCUGCUUUUUACUUUUCCAUGUUACCAGAUUACCUCGAGGAAAAGUACAAUACCCUAUAGUUGAUCUUCGAUCCACUAGGGAACCUGCAUAGUCAACGUCAGUAUAUGCUUCUAGAGUAAGAGUAUUGUUCUUUUUGAACAAAAUUCCUUUCCCGGGGUUGCCUUUCAAGUAAUGCAGCACCCUGUAAGCAACUUGAAGAUGAGGUUCUCUUGGAUCAUGCAUGAAUUGACUGAUCACGCUCACCGAGUAGGCGAUGUCUGGCAAGUGUGAGCAAGGUAUAUGAGCCUACCAACUAGCCUUUGGUACAUUCUUUUAUCCACCACUGGUUCUUCUUUAGCUUCUCCCAACUUGUGAUUUGGAUCCAUUGGGGUAGAGACUAGUUUACACCCAAUCUUCCUUGUUUCUGUCAAUAAAUUAGUCACAUACUUUUGUUGAUAGAUGAAGAUCUCUUGUGUGGAAUAUGCCACCUCAAUAUUGAGGAAGUGCUUUACUUUCCCUAGUUCCUUUAUCUCAAACUCUGUUGCUAAUCUUUGCUUCACUUCAUGCUUUUCUCUCUCAUCAUUUCCAGUCAUUAUGAUGUCGUCAACAUAGACUAGAAAAGCAAUUACUCCCCCUGUAGCCGAGUGCUUAAUGAAGAGAGUGUGGUCACCUUGGCUUUGCUUGUACCCAUACUCUUUCAUGACUUUUUCAAAUCUCUCAAACCAAGCCCUAGGAGAUUGUUUUAGCCUAUAAAGGGCCUUUUUCAGCCUACACACCUUGUUACCUAUGUUUCCCUCAAAUCUUGGUGGGAUGUUCAUGUAAAUCUCUUCAUCUAAAUCACCAUGAAGAAAUGCAUUCUUAACAUCAUACUAUAGGAGUUGCCAAUUGUAGUGGGUAGCCAAGGACAGUAGGAUUCUUAUAGUAUUCAUUUUUGCAACUGGAGCAAAAGCCUCCUGAUAAUCAACUCCAUAAGUUUGAGUGUACCAUUUGGCUACCAAUCUUGCUUUAUGUCUCUCAAGAGAUCCAUCAGUCUUAUAUUUCAGCGUGAAAAUCCACUUGCAAUUAACAAUGUUUUUCCCUUUCGUCUUUCAACAAUCUCCCAUGUUUUAUUAUUUUCUAAUGCAUUCAUCUCCUCUCUCAUAGCAUCCUUCCAUUCCCUUUUUGUCAAUACCUCAGAAACAGUGUUAGAGAUGAUAGUGGUGUUUAAACUCACAAUGAAAUUCUUGUGGGCUAGUGAUAGGUGCUUAAGAGACACAUAGUGUGAUAGUGGAUAGAGUGGUUAAUUAGUGCAUUAUCCGGUGCCUUUUCUGACAGCAAUGAGAAGGUCUAGGUCUAGGUUGUCUGUUGAGUCAAUGGAAGUUUCACCAAGUUGUGUAUGUAAAGGUGGGUCUAAUCUUACCGUGAUUUCAUUCCUAGGAUUUGAGUUGGAUUCUUGGACCUGCUAUUGUUCUGGAAUGACCUUUUCCCUUUAAUACAUCUUAGGAAACUGUGGAAAAUUACAAGUGACACUGGUUGGAAUAGGGAAUGACACGGGUUUAGUGGUAAAAUUGGGUGACUCAGGUGUGAUUAGUUCGGAUGACUCAAGUUCUUCAUCACCAUGGGUUGAGACAUGAGGAAGGUUAAGAGGUUCAAAGGAGUCACAAGGACUAUCCUCCAUCAUUGAAAUCUCCCCCUAAAUAGAGGACUUGGGAAAAAAGGUUUAUUUUCUGUGAAGGUGACAACUGCAGAGAUGUAAAAUUUUCUGGCUAAGGGAUUGUAACACUUGUAUCCUUUUUGAGUAGAUGAGUAAACCAAGGAAGACACAUUUUAUGGCUCGGGGGUCUAGCUUGUCUCUAUGAUGGUUGUGGACAUGAACAAAUGCAAUGCAUCAAAAUACACUAGGAGUGAGCCCAUAUGAGGUUCUAAAGUGUGGAUAGAAACUCUUAAGUAUCUCUACGGGGCUUUUGUUGUCUAACACUUGUGAGAGAAUUCUAUUUAUCAUGUAUGUGGCAGUAAGAACAGCUUCCCCCCAAUAGGACUUAGGAACAUUCCCUUGAAAGAGUAAGGCUCGGGUUGUGUUGAGUAAAUGCCCAUUUUUUCUCUCGGGUAUCCCAUUUUGUUGGGGUGUGUUAACACAUGAUGAGUCAUGGAGAAUGCCCUGUGAUUGAAAAUUGGGUGACAAAGUAUGGUUAAAGUAAUCUCUAGCAUUGUCUGUCUUAAAACUUUUUAUUUUAACCCCAAAUUGGUUUUGAACCAUUGAGUGGAAAUUAGGUAUAACAAUGCUAACAUCAGAUUUUUGUUUAAGAAGAAAGAUCCAUGUAAUCUGAGUGCAGUCAUCAAUUAAGGAUACAAACCAACGAGCCCCAUAAACAUUAGGUAUAGUCGAAGGACCCCAUAUGUCACUAAGAAUCAAAUGAAAAGGAUGAGAACUUCUUUUAUUGCUAAUAGGAAAAAAUUCACGAGUAUGUUUUGUCAAUUCACAAGUUUUGUAAUGAAACUUAGAAAUAUCUAAUCCUUGAAACAAAUGAGGAAACAUGACCUUUAAAACCCUAAAAGAUGGAUGACCUAGACGUAGGUGAUACAACCAAAUGGUAUCUUUAUUUAAGGAACUCUAAAAAGACACACAAAUUAUUACUAGUUUUCUGAGAUGAUUCAAGGUGAUAAAGACCGCUCAUUUCCUUAGCAAGUCCAAUCCUCCUUCCCGAGCCUUGUUCCUGAAAAACACAAUAAGAAUGGAAAAAAAUAGCAGAACAUUUAAGAUCAUGGGUAAGCUUUUGAAUGGAAACAAGGUUGGCCGACAAUUUUGGUACAUGGAGGACAUUUUUAAGAAUAAGGGUAGGUGUGAUAUAUAUGUCUCUGAAACCUGCAACGGUAACUAAAAAGCCAUUGGCCAUUGCAAUUUUCUUGUUACUUGGGUUUGAGGUAUAGGUAUGGAAAAGUUGAGAUUUGGAGGUCAUAUGGUCUGUGGCACCGAAGUCUAUUAUCCAAUAGUCAUUAUAAACCUUGUGUGAGGCAUUUAUGCAAAAUGAGAGUGAAGGUGUACCUGAAUUUUCCAACAUCUUCCACGAAAAAAAAAACCUGAUCUCUUGGGAAUUAAGGUAGAUCGCGAAACAAAAAAACCAGCAACAAUGAAGGUUGGUAAAAGAACACGUGAAUAAAAAAAAUCUAACUAUGAAGGCCAGAAAAAUGGCGAUGAAGGCCAGAAUGAUGCCCAGGUCUUAAAAACCUACUGCUCUGAUACCAUGACACGAAAUGUGGGAUGAAAAAUAAUAAGUUUUGUAUAUUAGAUUGACUAUAUACAUAGUUUAUAUUGGAUAUUAUAAGAGAAGAAAUAGGAAACAAGAGACAUAAUAGGAAACUAACUUAUUCCUAAAUCAUAAAACUAUCUAUUUACAAAAAUAGGAAACUAACAUAAUAGGAAAAUAAUUCUCCUAUUCUAUUUACAGCUCAAUUACAACCUAUUUAUAGCUCAACAUUAAGUUAUAAAACUAUUUUAUAUUCUAAAGAAAAAAAAAAUCUAUUUUCAAAAACAAUAUCUAUAUAAGCAUUUUUCUUUUAAGUAUGAUUUUAAAAUGUUUUUCCAUGAGUCUAAUUGUUGCUAGGAUUUUGACCAAUAAACAAAUAUGUGUGACUUUCCUCGUCAUUGUAAUUUAUAUUUGGGAAAAAAAUGGGGAUUUCAUCAAAAUAUGAAACUUAUGUAACAAUUAUUAGCAACCUAAAUAUAAAUAAAACUAAAACGGAGAAUUUACUUGUUUAUGGAAUAAAUAGUUGAAAAUUUUAUAAGCAUUGAGGAUGGUCAUAAAUCAUGUUGUAAUUAAUAAAAGCAUUUCUAGGUUAUGGAACUUGGGUGGCAAAUUGGUAGAUUUCUAGCCAAACUAGUAUUUGUCUCUAUAAUAAAAUCUCUUAUCAUAAAGGGUAAUGAUACUUUAGAAAGGUCAACUUCAAAUUGGGCCUUUAGAAGCAAUUAAGAUAUUUACAUUAUUUUAUUGCAUGUAUACUUGACAUGACAUAAUGAAAUUUUAUUUAAACAUGCAAUUCAACACAUUUUUAAUUUACAUUCUAUUUGACCUUAAUUUAAUGGCACCGAACGAAACUAAGAAUCAUUCUAUAAUUUCCAUUUACUUCAUCUUUGUUUUCUUUGACAAUUGAUUGUAGCUCACUGCAUGUUUUAUUGUACUUUAUAAUGGACAGAUUUGAGUCAGAGUUUAUUCAAGAAAUCAUUGGUGAGAUUCGAAGAUUAACUCCUAAGUUGGUACAUGUUGGUGAGAACAUAGUUGGAAUGGAUGAAAAUUUGAAAGAGGUGGAGUUAUUGAUAAACGCCCAAUCAAAUGGAGUGAGCAUGGUUGGGAUUUAUGGGAUUGGUGGGAUUGGUAAAACUACCAUUGCCAAGGUUGUUUACAAUGAUAUGUUAGAUCAAUUUCAACGUCACAGCUUUCUUGAAAAUGUGAGGGAGAAAUCUAAAGAUGAUCAUGGUUUGCUUGAAUUACAAAAAAAACUUCUUUGUGAUAUCCUAAUGGAGAAAAAUCUGAAGUUAAGAAAUAUUAAUGACGGUAUCAAAAUGGUAAAGAGGAAGUGUCGCAUUGAAAAGGUUCUCAUUGUUCUUGAUGAUGUAGAUUGUCAAAAACAAUUAAAAUUCUUAGCUCCUAAUUCUGAAUGUUUUCAUCAAGGAAGCAUAAUCAUCGUGACCACGAGAAAUAAACGUUGCCUAGAUGUACAUAAGUCAUAUUCAUCAUAUGAGGCUAAGGGAUUAGCACACACGCAAGCUAAGGAACUCUUUUGUUGGAAUGCCUUUCAGCAAGACCAUCCCGAGUAUGAGGACCUCUCUAAUUGUAUACUAGAUUAUGCUAAAGGCCUUCCAUUGGCUCUUGUAGUUUUGGGUUCUUUUCUCUAUCAAAGGGAUGUGGAUUACUGGGAAAGCACACUGCAUAAACUAAAAACAAACCCUCUUGAGGAUAUUCAAAAGGUACUCCAGAUAAGUUAUGAUGGACUAGAUAAUAAAUGGAAGGAGUUGUUUCUUGAUAUUGCAUGUUUCUUCAGAAAUGAGGAUAAAAAAGUUGUUACAAGAAUACUAGAAGGUUGCAAAUUCCAUCCUAAGUCUGGACUAACGGUUCUUCAUGAGAGGUGUCUUAUUUCUAUAACAGACGACACCAUAAGGAUGCAUGACUUGUUACAAGAAAUGGGUUGGGCAAUUGUUCGCCAAAAUUUUCCAGAACAUCCUGAAGAAUGGAGCAGAUUGUGGGAAUUACAGGAUAUUAAAAGUGUUUUACCACAAAAUAAGGUAGGAGAAAAAUACAUGAACUUACUUGAGAUCUAAAGACAUAUAAAAGAUUCAACAAGAAUUAUUUUUAUUAUUAUUAUAGUUUUGAGUAUCUUAUCUAUAUAAUUUUAGUGAAUCCCUAUGCAUCUUAUAUUGCUUAUUCUCAAUGCUUGUUUUCAGGGGACAAAAAACAUAGAGGGGAUAUCCAUAAAUCGGUCUUGGGAUAGUAAAAAACGUAUACAACUUACUGCUGAAGCUUUCAGAAAGAUGAAUCGACUUAGAUUGCUCAAAGUUAAAGGCGAUAUGGUGCAGCUUUCCUAAGACUUUGAAUUGCCUUGUCAUGAUUUAGUAUAUUUUCAUUGGGAUAACUACCCUUUGGAAUAUUUGCCAUCAAAUUUUCAUGUAGAAAAUCCUGUUGAACUUAACCUCUGGUACAGCAACAUAGAACAUCUUUGGGAAGGAAACAUGGUAUUGCUAUUAUUUAGUUAUAUUUUUGCUCUAGACUAAUUUUAAAGUCUUUUGAAGUUUACUUAUUGAAACGAAUUUUCUUCUGUUACAGCCUGCUAAAAAGUUAAAAGUCACUGAUCUUAGUUAUUCCAGGCAUCUGGUUGACAUUUCAAACAUCUCAAGUAUGCAAAAUUUGGAGACUCUAAUUCUAAAAGGUUGUACAAGGUUACUUAAGUGUUUCACCCAUGCUUAAUGUUAUUAUUAGUCAUGAACUAACUGUUUUCUUGAAUAUAAUAGGAUGCAAGAGACUUGAGAGUCUUCCAAGGAACUUUCAUAAGCUGGAAUGCCUUCAAACACUCUCUUGUGAUGGCUGUUCAAACUUAAAAGUUUUCCGAAGAUCAAGGAAGAAAUGAGAAGUCUAAGAAAGCUUAAUUUAAGUCAUACAAGUAUAAUGGAAUUAACAUCAUCAAUUAGGCAUCUAAAUGGGCUUGAAGAGUUGGACUUAAGUAAUUGCAAAAACCUUUUGAGUCUUCCGGACAGUAUUGGUAGUUUGAACUCUCUUCAAACUCUCGAUCUAGUUGAGUGUUCAAAACUAGUGGGUUUUACAAAUAUCAAUAUUGGAAGUCUAAAAGCUCUUGAAUAUUUGGAUUUGUCAUGGUGUGAGAACCUUGAGAGUCUUCCAAAUAGUAUUGGUAGUUUGAGCUCUCUUCAAACUCUUUUAUUGAUAGGGUGUUCAAAAUUGAAGGGCUUUCCAGAUAUCAAUUUUGGAAGUCUAAAAGCUCUUGAAUUGUUAGAUUUCUCACACUGCAGAAACCUUGAGAGUCUUCCUGUGAGCAUUUACAAUUUGAGCUCUCUCAAAACUUUGGGGAUUACAAAUUGUCCAAAACUCGAGGAAAUGUUAGAGAUUAAAUUAGGGGUUGAUUGGCCAUUUUCACCUCUAACCUGUCACAUUUCAAAUUCAGCAAUAACCUGGUAUGAUGACUGGCAUGACUGCUUUUCCUCAUUAGAAGCAUUAAACCCACAGUGCCCCCUGUCAUCACUGGUAGAAUUAUCUGUAAGAAAGUUUUAUGGCAUGGAAGAAGACAUCCUCAGUGGCAGUUUCCACCUAUCCUCAUUGCAAAUAUUAUCUCUAGGGAACUUCCCUAGCGUGGCAGAAGGAAUCCUCGAUAAGAUUUUCCAUCUAUCCUCGUUGGUAAAAUUAUCUCUUACUAAAUGCAAGCCAACGGAAGAAGGAAUCCCUGGUGAUAUUUGGAACCUAUCUCCACUGCAACAAUUAUCUCUACGUGACUGCAAUCUAAUGGAAGGAAAGAUCCUCAAUCAUAUUUGCCAUCUAACAUCCUUGGAAGAAUUAUAUCUGGGUUGGAACCAUUUUAGUAGCAUACCUGCUGGCAUCAGUCGACUUUCUAAUCUAAAGGCCCUUGACUUGAGUCAUUGCAAGAACCUUCAACAAAUUCCAGAGCUUCCAUCAAGUCUACGAUUUUUAGAUGCGCACUGUUCGGAUGGUAUUUCAUCAAGCCCCUCGCUUCUACCUAUUCAUUCUAUGGUCAAUUGCUUCAAAUCAGAAAUUGAGGUAUGAUUCUCAUGCCACGUUCCUCUUUCUUUUGUACCCAUUGAAUUUACAUGGUGCUUUUGUGCAGGACCGCAAGGUUAUUAAUCAUUAUUCUUACUUCUGGGGCAAUGGAAUUGGUAUUGUUAUUCCUAGAAGUAGUGGAAUUCUAGAGUGGAUAACAUAUCGGAAUAUGGGAAGGAAUGAAGUAACAGUAGAGCUCCCUCCGAAUUGGUAUAAAAAUGAUGACUUGUGGGGAUUUGCUUUAUGCUGUGUUUAUGUUGCACCUGCCUAUGAAUCUCAGUAUGAAUUAGGUCAUAUAUCUAAGGAUGACGCUGAACUUGAAGAUGAAGGACCAGGGUUCUGUUGUGAUUUGAGUAUCGAAGGAAAUAAUCAAUCAGGAGACGUGGGUUUUUUCCUUCUUUAUUCUUGCUGUGUUAAAUAUGAUGUGUCAGAUAUGCAGUGGGUGAUAUGUUAUCCCAAGUUAGCUAUUGAGGAAAGUUAUCACACCAAUCAAUGGACACACUUCAAGGCUUCAUUUGGUGGUGCCCAAGUGGAAGAGUGCGGAAUCCGUCUUGUAUACACAGAAGAUUAUGAACAGAAGCAUCCAGCAAUGGCACAAGGCAGUACUUCUCAUGGGAAUUUUGGUGAGCAUGGAUCGGUAAGAGAAGAUACUGAUAGUAAGCUCACAAUAAAAGGAAUCCCACAGAACAGAGCCCAAGAGAGGAGUCACACCAUAAAAGAUCCAUAGAAACCCAAGACUGAUCCCAAGUAUUAGGCUCAACCACACUUGCAUCACUAAUGCUAUCUUUACUGGUAAUUCAUCUUCCUUUCUCUUUCUAAUUCAAAGGUCAGAAUUUUUUUUUAUCGUGUUUCUCCUUUUUAUUUGUCUUUUUCCCCAAGACAAACAAAACUUUGAGGCUAUCACCCAUGGGCGCAAACUUCAAUGGUACACCUCCCAAGUUUGUUUUUCUCUCUCUCCAACCGUCUUUCCCUAGAUUUUUCUGCAUUUUCUUCAAACCCAUAUUUCCAUAUGAAAUUCAAUUACAUUCGAGCAUUUCAAUCUCUGUAGCUACUGUCUGAAUCAUUUAUAGGGUUUCUUUUUUCUGGAAGUUUGUAAUGUUAUUGAUUUAAGACUUCAUGUUUGGGGAUGUUUUGGGUGGCUUGUUCACUGGUAUUAAUUGUGAUAAUUGCAGCUCUGGUGCUUUCAAUGACUUUGACAAUAGUCGAAACUAUGUUGAAUGCUUGUACCAAGGGAAUGGACUUCAGUUGCUCUAGGGUUAGUGCUAUAACAUCAGUAUUCACUCUUCAAGAAUGUAUAUAGUUGUUGUUUUGGAAUUUUGAAAUUACUUAGCAUCAGACAAUUUCUAACUCGGGAUUUGGAUUGGGAACCAUAAGUUAUCAUUAGAGAGUGUAUGAGAAGGAAUUUUAGAGUGAGAUGGGUGAUGCAUGUUGAGGGAUGAAAGAGGGAUGUAUCUCACCCUAGAGUUCUUUGGAAUAAUUAUAGGAUUUUGUAAGUAACUUUGGACUUACUUGCAAUGUUCUGGAUUUGUGAAUAAUUUAUAGAAUGCAUUGGGUUUUUUUUUUUUGUUUUUUUUUUUGGUCCAUAAGAAACUAAAAGAACUUUGAGAGUGAAUAAUGUAUGACUGUACUCUUCUCUAUCUCUCUGGUCAUAGCACACGUAUGAUUUGGUACUUUUUUGCAGGCUUCAACAGCAGCAAAGCAUCUGGUGGCUUGCAGUACUAAUCUUACAUUAUAUUCUCUGUUUUGCAAUCAUUUGGUACUUUUUGUCCCAACCAAGGAUAGCUCUGUGCAACAGUCUCGACUGUGGAACAAGUAAAACAAAUGGUACCUGCUGAAGCUGAGAGGGCAGAUAAUAAAUUGGUGCGGAAGGUGGUCAACCAAAAGAAUCAGACAGCAAAAACUAAAAAAGCCGAUGAAGCCUGCUACUGAAGCAGUCUCAGCACCUGUUUCUAGGAGGGGUGAGAUUGAAGUGACUGAAGAAAAGGAGCGUGAGCAAACAAAGAAGGAAGAGGAGUUGGCCAGGAAGGUAGAGGAAUUGAGAAGUGAAGAGGAAGCAGCCAUGUUGAAGGAGAAAAGUCUGUUGGAGGAGAAAGCCAACGUUAAGAAGGCAUUGGAAAGGAAACAAGGAACUGCAGAAAAGGCCAAUUUCUCUGUGAGUGCUGCCACCUUUUCGUGAUACAGCCAUAAUAAUGGAUGUUAAAAGCAGUCUAACUCUACAUGGCGUUUAUUUUCCCCAGCCAUAGAUUGGAAUCUGCCAGUCUGACUCUCAUAAGAAAGAAAAUUUUCCAUCGAUCCUCGUAUGGAUUAUUGGAGAAGAUUUUAACAUGGAGUUCACAAGAGAGUUUCUAACACCCACUUAAAAGGACAUUUUAGAAAACUUAUUGAAAAAUAACAUGAGAGUACAUAAAUUUUUAGAUAUUUUUAAAAAUAUUUGAAAAUUUAAAUUAACUAAAAGUAUUUGAAAAAUAUUUGAUUGAAUUAACAAAUAUCAAGUAUUUGCAUAUGAAAAAAUAAUAAACAUUGUGAAGAAUUUUUUUAUUAAUUAGUGCAUAAUAAUUUUAUUUUCCUUUUAAUCACAAAUUAAUCUAUGGCAAAAUCUCAUAUUUGUUGUAGGGACAAUGUUGUCUUACAUUUUUCUUUCAUGAUGGACUCAAAUUUUAAUUUAAAUGUAGUAUAAAUAUAUAAUUAGAUUGAAAUUUCGUCCACUAAGAUUGAUUGGGUAUGAAUUUGAACCCUCGUUCGGGUCAUACUUCCAUCCAAUCCAAGCUUGUGGUUGGGCUUGAAUUUCUUGGCCCAACCAGUAAUGUCAUUGACCAAUAGCCCUUAGUUUGGGCUGGGCUUGAUGGUCCUCAGGCUAUGCAGACUUAAUACUCAUUGGGUUUGGGAUUCCAUGUAGUUGUAAUUAGAUUCUAUGUUUCCUAAUAUUAACACUAAAUUAGGUUUAAUUUAUAAUUAAAUAUAAUUAGAAGAGGAAAAUGAAAUAUCAUAUCCUUGCAAUGAGUUAUGUGGAUAUUUCAUUUAAAAAGUCUAAUGUGAAAGGUUGUUAUGGGUAGUCGUUUUUUGAUGCAAAUUUUCUAUGGAGUCCUAAUCUUAGAAGGCAAUAGAAAAUUCACAACCAAGAUUUCUUAAAAAUAACUACAUUAAAGUGUAAACAAAAUAUCAAACUAGAAUUUCUUAGAAAUAUCAAACUAGAAAGUGAAAUAUAAUACAAUUCAAGUAUGAAAAUGAAGGACAAAAGAAUAGACCAAAUUUGAAAGACCGUUCAAAGACUCGUUUCUUGUUACAAUCCAAUCAUGACUUCCACUAGUAGAGAUCCUCUUCUUCUUCUUCUUCUUCUAAUUCCAAAUUGAGGGACCAUGCGUUCUUGAGUACCCUCAAAAGCUUUUUUGAUCAUUUAUACUGUAUAACCUUACUUGUAAUAACUGUAUAAGAUAUUUGUGCUAAUUGAUAAGAUAUUUGUGCUAAUUGUAUAAAACAUGUCCUUAUACAUCUUGAAUUUAUAAAUUUAUGAAUUUAUGAAUAACCCAAUAAUCAAUGACUUCUUAAUAAAAUUUUUUUAAUUUUGUUGCCUUAAAAGUCAUGUCCCUCCUUUACAAAGCUUCUUAGAAAUUUCAUAUAUUUUUUUUUGUCAUCAUCUAUAUUUCAUAUUUCUUUUUCGUCUUCAAUAUUUGUGUAUAUAUCUAAAAUAAAACCUAUAAGAAAAUGAAAAAUUUACACUUAAAAAGUGUUUAUUUGAAAUUUAGGCAAUGAACUUAAAGGAGUUUGGAAUUACUCCUCGAAGUUGAUAUGUUUGUUUUAAAAUCAAAGUGGAUUUCAAUUUUCUUUAAAUCCACGUUAUGAUAUUACGGUAAUAUGUAGUGUCUUUAAAACCAUGGCUUCCUCUAGCAAUUCUAAGAGACCCUUUUACUCUUCUUCUUCUUCUAAUUCUAAAUGGAGGUACGAUGUGUUCUUGAGUUUCAGAGGCGAGGAUACCCGCAACAACUUUACUAGUCAUCUCUACAAGGCUUUGGAUCAUGCCAACAUUGAAACCUUCAAAGAUGAUAAAGAACUUCGAAGGGGAGACGAGAUUGCACCCGAGCUCCUAAAAGCUAUUGAAGGAUCAAGGAUUGCCCUUAUUAUCUUCUCGAAAACCUAUGCUCAUUCCAAGUGGUGCUUGGAUGAACUCGUCAAGAUCAUGGAGUGCAAGGAAGAAAAGGGACAAAAGGUUUUUCCUAUUUUCUAUCAUGUAGAGCCGUCUGAAGUCAGGAAACAGACUGGGAUUUAUGGAGAAGCAUUUAACAAUCACGAGAGCAAUGCAGACGAGGAGAAGAAGAAGAAGAUAGAGAAGUGGAGGACUGCCUUAUGGAAAGCCGGUAAUUUGAGUGGAUUUCCUCUGCAGGAUAGGUAAUCCCUACAUCGCUUUUUCCAUUUCCCAUUUUCUGUCAGUUUAUUUUCAUUCUUCUUAAUAAAUAAAAUAUUUAUGAUUACAUAUAUCAAUCAAAAUCCAUUUUUAAGUAGUAGACAUUGAUUAAUAUGUUUGAUUUCUUGGAAAGUAAUAAGAAGAGUUAAAAAAAAAUGAUUUUCUUAUAUUUAAUUUAUUAUUAAAAAUAUGAAAGAAAAUAAAAUAUAAUUUAAAUACAUUGGAAAACUAUAAUAGGAAUAAUAUUAGAUAAUGUAUGAUAGCUGUUGUGGGCUCAUUCAGUCACAGCAGGUGAUAACAGUCAAUAAAAUAAAAUAAUUAUCCCAAAUGCCAAGUUUUGAAUUGUUAAAAAUUCUUAAGAUUCCAAAAUGUUCUUAGUUUCUAAUCAAUCCAUUUCAGCCAUAAUUUCUAUCAAUUUAAAAAGAUGGUAGUUUGUCAAAUAAAUUGUUAAAAUUGCUUAUUUAUAUGCUUUGUAAAUUUGGAGGUAAUCUAGGAUGAUUAUUUAGAAAAUUGUAAUACUGCCUUAAAUUUUUCUAGACCCCUCUUAUGGGACAAAAAACUUAGUUAUUAAACCCUUUACCUUUUUCAAUUUUUGAGGAAUUUUCUAUUACUAAAAUAAUUUUCUCAUAUUCUCUAUGAACUACAUGAGUUUACAUUUCUUCUUUCCUUAAUAUUGUUUCUUCCUUUAUAUUUGCAAGUUGAUAAUCAAAUUUAUUUGCCUUUUAAUCUAUUGUUUGUAUCUCGUUUUAUUCUAAUUUUCCAUGACAUCAAGAUAAUUAAUCUCAUCUUAAGACCUUGUCUUUCACAUUGAAUCAUCUAAUGCUAAAAUUAUUCUCUUGCUAUUCUACUUUGUGUACUCAUGGGAUUGAUAUAUUGCAAUCGAAAUUGCAUUUUUUUUUCUCUUUUUCUCUAGUAUGUUCUACAUUCCUCUAUGCCUCAAUUACAAAUAAAAGCAAGUAACCUUAGAGCUUGUUUGACAGUAUUUUUGAAAAUAAUGUUCAAAAAAUAGUUUUCCCCUAGCCAAUUUUGAAAAUAAUGAACAAAAUUUUACUUGAAAAUUCAAAUAUGAAAAAUGUCUUUCUCGACUUAUUAACUAUGAAGGUACUAUAAAUUUAUGUACAAUUUAACAAUUCUCUAAUUAUUAUCUACAUUUUCAAUUUUUGAUCACAAUACUCUAUAAGAAAAUACCUUAAAACAUCUCAAAUGUGCUCUUAAAGAUGAACUUGUUUACCGAACAAAUUUUUGAAAAUAAUUUUUAGUAAAAAUGAAAAUUAAAUAUAUAUUUAAGUUAUAAAACUAUUUUAUAUUCUAAAGAAAAAAAUCUAUUUUCAAAAACAAUAUCUAUACAAGCAUUUUUCUUUUAAGUAUCAUUUUAAAAUCUUUUUCCAUGACUCUUAUUAUUGCUAGGCUUUUGACCAACAAACAAACAUGUGUCACUUUCCUUGUCAUUCUAAUUUAUAUUUGGGAAAAAAAUGGGGAUUUCAUCAAAAUAUGAAACUUAUGUAGCAAUUAUUAGCAACCUAAAUAUAAAUAGAACUAAAGUGAAAAUUUACUUGUUUACAAAAUAAAUAGUUGAAAGUCUUAUAAGCAUAGAGGAUGGUCAUAAGUCAUGGUGUAAUUAAUAAAAGCAUUGCUAGGUUAUGGAACUUGGGUGACAAAUUGGUAGAUUUCUAGCCAAACUAGUACUGGUCUCUAUAAUAAAAUCUCUUAUCAUAAAGGAUAAUGAUACUUUAGAAAGGUCAACUUCAAUUUGGACCUUUAGAAGCAAUUGAGAUAUUUUCAUUAUUUUAUUGAACAUAUACUUGACAUAACAUAAUGAAAUUUUAUUUAAACAUGCGACUCAACACAUUUUUAAUUUACAUUCUAUUUGACCUUAAUUUAGUUGCAUUGAAUGAAACAAAACACCAUUCUAUUAUUUCCAUUUACUUCAUCUUUGUUUUCUUUGGCAAUUCAUUCUAACUCACUGCAUGUUUUAUUAUACUUUAUAAUGGACAGCCCUGAGUCAGAGUUUAUUGAAGAAAUCAUUGGUGAGAUUCGAAGAUUAAUUCCUAAGUUGGUACAUGUUGGUGAGAACAUAGUUGGAAUGGAUGAAAAUUCGAAAGAAGUGAAGUUAUUGAUAGACUCCCAAUCAAAUAAAGUGAGUAUGGUUGGGAUUUAUGGGACUGGUGGGAUUGGUAAAACUACCAUCGCCAAGGUUGUUUACAAUGGUCUGUUAGAUCAAUUUAAGCGUCACAGCUUUCUUGAAAAUGUGAGAGAGAAAUCUAAAGAUGAUCCUGGUUUGCUUGAAUUACAAAAAAAACUUCUUUAUGAUAUCCUCAUGGAGAAAGAUUCGAAGAUAAGUAAUAUUGGUGAAGGAAUAAAAGAGAUAAAGAGUAAGUGUUGCUUUGAAAAGGUUCUUAUUAUUCUUGAUGAUGUAGAUUGUCUAAGACAGUUAGAAUUCUUAGCUCCUAAUUCUGAAUGUUUUCAUCGAGGAAGCAUAAUCAUCGUGACCACAAGAAAUAAACGUUGCCUAGAUGUACAUAAGUCAUAUUCAUCAUAUGAGGCUAAGGGAUUAGCACAUGAGCAAGCUAAGGAGCUCUUUUGUUGGAAUGCCUUUAAGCAACACCAUCCAAAAGACAAUUAUGUGGACCUCUCUAAUCGUAUACUGGAUUAUGCUAAAGGCCUUCCAUUGGCUCUUGUAGUUUUGGGUUCUUUUCU